UUUCUUUUCUAUUACAGUAUCAAAUCAUCGCCGGAACUAUAGAUCACAACCAUAUAACAAAAAUAUCACAUCAUAUCGCGUGUAUCAUGAAAACAGAGUGUAGGAUGUAGCUCAGAUCAGCAAAACUAUGAGAGGAGCAGCGGAGAGCAAGAGGCAGGCAAAAGCAUCCUGAAGUGGCGAAUGAGGCAGCCCGGCCGCCCCCGUAUCCAGCUGAGGCAAUGGAGCCGCCGCCAGCUCCUGCGCCCGAGCCGCUCCGCACAACCACACUGCCAUCAUCACCACCACGAGCAUCACAAUUUCGCUUCCCAUGCGGCGGUUCCCGGAGCCUGCCAUCGAUCUUAUCGGUAUGCUGCGACUGUAAGUUGGGUUUCUCUGGGAACAGAUGUAAGAAGUGCACUUAUAUAGGCUCUGAAGCGGUGUGAUCAGUUCCGGAAGACAUCGGAACUGCAUGCGUUCGAGCGGUUAGCGUAUCGGAAUCGAAUGCGACCCUUUUGCUUGAUUGCUCAUGCCUUUUGAGCCAAGAAUGAGAACUGCAGGGACCACGGCCCCGCUCCAACCAAGGUGGCUUCAGGACAAUCGAAACUUUUGAUGGUUUGCCACUUCCCGAAGCGACCUAAAAGAUCGAGAGAUGGAGAAAAGCGAAGGCCCAGCUGUCCGACAGGGGAAGAGGGUGCACAGUCAUGUCUCGUCCUCUGCAGCUGCGGAUGGACGCUCGCUUUUGGCUCGGCUGGUGAUUUUUGCUUGAUUGCGAGGGAAAAAUCAUGCUUCGUGGGCACACUCUUGCUCGACAGCCGAUAUGGACCUGUCACGAUUUUGUUUCGGCUUUUCUUUAAUUAGCACCUUAGUGAGUCUCUAAAUUGUUAUGCUGACCACGAGAUGUUAAAAUGAAAUUGAGUAUCGACAGUUCUCAAUAGGACGAUUGGGCCGUGCGGAUAUCAACACGUUAAAAUAAAGAACGCAGUUGUAUAUGACUCUAGUUGUAGGGCUGGUGGCCAAGGCCUCCAAUGGCAAUCAACUUCCACCCAAUCUAACCUAAUCUAGAAGGGAGCUUCCCCCGGUUGGACGAGCGAAGCGAACGAGCCUGUUAGUUUUGAGGAGCUGCAACUCUUCCAAAUUCUAAUGCACAAUGUUGUAUCAUCCCAACGGUUCACGAUUAGAACCUCUUCGUUGUACCAUGCCUUUUACGAUGAAGUUGUUCGAAAGAUUGCACCUUUUGGAACAAACUUUAUGCCCGUAUGCUUUUUGCCCCCUCUAAUACAAUGUAAAUGUCAUUUCAUUUUAAUGGUUGACUAGAUCUAAUUUAACGAACCCAUCAUUGUUUCAAGAUUUAUACUUUACAAUUUGUGGAAUACAAAAAUCGAUCAUAGUAAAUAUUGUUAAAUACAUUAUCUAUAUUUAUGUACGUAGUUCACCUGCUGUUUCUCUCCAAGAAAGGGCCAUUCUAACGUUGGAGAGACAUUUGUGCAUGGCCGGCUCCUUCACCACCAUCGACAAUUACCAAAUUCCGCCAACUUCCCCCUCAUGCCAUGCAAAACCGACCACGUACCACGAUUUUCAUUGCAAAUUCUCAACUGCUUUUAGCCUAAAAAUGGCCCCAACACUCCCCUAUAAAUUCAACUUGACCUCUGCACGCCAUCCUCAGGACAGCCAAAAAAGACAAAAAGACUAAGGAGAGGAAGAUAAGACCUUUCUGUUCUUCGUCUCCCGAAAAGGAAAAAAAAGGGUCUUGCAUUCUCAAGAAAAUGGACAUGAAGAAGAUCUCCUGUGCCGUCCUCGUUGCUGCCGCCUCAAUGAGCGCCGUCCUGGCCUCUGAUGACUCCCCGGCUCCAGCCCCAGGCCCAUCGAGCGGAGCCUCCGCAGCCUUGCCCGUCUUCGGCUCUCUGGUCGGCGCCUCCGUCGUGUCUUUCUUUGCCUAUUAUUUGCAGUGAGAACUUUAGAGCGCCAAAAUGGCAAGAUAGGAGAGAAAGAACGAGAGGAAAGUAGGGAAGGGAUUGUCCUGGGAAGAGUCUUCUGACCAGACCAAGGGCUUGAAUGGACAGACUUUUCAGAAUAUCUCCCUUCUUUGAUCCAUGUGCUCUUAUCUUUAUUUGUUAAUUUCAUUCAUGGGUGUUGCGCAUUAAUAAAGGAUUUUAUCAAGCCUUCUCAAGUGGAGUGGCUGGUCGUUGCAUGAUACCAAUUCUGGUGUCGACCUCCCUACGUCCAGUGUCACCGGUUACUGCGCACGGUUACUGCGCAUGGAUUUAGCGCAAUCUAACAUAAUCGCAUGUAUAUCCAAGCAUUUAUGCACGUCACUUGUAUCACGAACAAAUGAGAGAGGAACUUAUCUUUGAGGAUAGGGUCUUAAAUUUUUUUUGAUUAAAGGUCAAAUGAUGCAUAGUCAAUGUAUUACUCAGCAGAAAAGAGAGAAUUAGGACGCAUUGGCCAUGGCACUCCGAAAUACUGUGCAUAAAGACAUUAUAAUAUAGAGAUUCACCAGGAAGAGGCAUGGGAAUAUAAGCUAUCACCUGGCCAUUGUCGAUCUAGAGAGGGAUCUAACCCUGAUAAUCCAUACAACAACAUCAAGAAGAAGAUAGUACAAACAGUUGAUAGCGGCGUAGAAGACUUCCUGCGAAAAAAUGCAGUACAUGAAGAAAUUUUACUGAACUCUUGAAAGGGCUCAUCAGUCAGACAAUCAUAAUUCUUGCACAUAACUUAUGACUUCGACUAUCAUUUUAAAAGACAACUUCCUCUUGCAAACAGAGGGUAACUGAAUCCGUAAAAUCAACAAAGAAUGCGUCUUCUUCAGCUCCACCGUUAUUCAGAAGAACACUACUUCAAGAAAGACGCUUCUCAUACUUACACUCGAAUGUACACAUGAUGGAUAAAUUAAUGCUAAAAGUCCUCAUGGAUUUUAGCGAAAGAGCACCCUCAAAAAGUACAUGCAUGUACAAGAAAGUUCAGCGGAGAGAUUAUUGACAAUCAUCUUGCUGAGGUAAGUUCCCUCCAGUAAAUUUAUGUGUAGACAUGAGGCUCUUCGUCAACCAAAUAGCCGUCUCUUUCGAUGACACGGCUUCUCCUCCGAAUGGUCUCAGAACACCGGCGAGCUCAUCAAUCUUAUCCUGUUUAAGUAGCUGUGCACAUAGCUCAAGCAGAGAUUCCAGAGCAUCAGCUCUAUGUUGAGUUGGAAUUUCCCAGUUGAUCUUGGUUUCUUCCCCACCAUUAGCAGGAGGCGUGCUCGAGGAAGAGGUAUCAAGUGAUGUGUUGUUCACAACCAGGGCAUCAUCAGCCUCACUAUGCAUGGAACAGGUGACAUCAUCUUGUUUUGCCUUUACUCCAUUACACAGGGUCAUCUUAUUACCAGAUAGUAAAUAGUCCACAAUAGCAACUCCCACGGCAGUGGAGUUUUCUAAUUUGUCAGAGCUGCAUGCAGGAUCUCUAUCAUUUCCGUCACUAGUAUUGUGGAUCCUUGAUGACAGAAUACCAUUCUCAUGAACUGCAUCAUUUUUAUCGUGGACUUCAUUUGGUAUUUGCACCUCGCUGCUCUUUUCUGCCUUACCAUUUGAUUCACAGUCUUCCUCAUCUUUCUGAUUGCAAACCAUCUCUUGAGCCUGUGCUAUUUCCUGAGCCUGCAUGACACCAUCAUUGACAUCGACUUUCUUGUAUUCUUGAACAUACUUCAUAGCUUCUUCUCCUCCAUCCAGAGAAGGCAAUGUGCCCUCAGAGGUGACUUCAGUUGAAGCGUGUUCCUUUACAAGCUUAGAAUCAGUUCCUCCAUCUCCAUUCGAAAGAGUCACUUCAGAAUCAGCAGAACUAUCUUUUGAACCAUCCAAAGAGGUCGAUACUUCAACCGUAUAGCUGGUAGGAUCAACCAUCUUGGUUUCAAGAUAAUCUUCUGUGCUAGCAGUGGAUGUCGCUUUGCCAGGAGUUACCACAGCAAUUUGUCCCAUGUUUCCAUUAGCUUCCAUAUGCUCAGAGUGGCUUAAGGCUUCUACUCCUAUCUCCUUCUCUGUGUGGUCUUUCCCUGCCUUUGGCUUCCCAGAAGAUAAUCUUCUCCCACUUUUAUCCUUUGAGCUGUUUAUGGGCUUUAUGGGAAGAAAGACGGGGGCAGUAUUAUUGCACCGAAGAAGGUAUGACUGCAAAUGUGGAUGCCUUAGCAGCUCUGCAGCCUGAAAAUUCAAGGUCAGGGGCAUUAGAGUAGGUUAAGAAAAUUCCAUUAAUUCUACAAAAGCAUAGAUAAGUUGGAUUACCGUUGGUCUAUGCUCUGGAUUCUUUCUCAGCAUGCUCUUGAUUAUUUGCUUCCUGCAAAAGGUACCGUAAGUGCUACUCAUAAAAAAAACAAAAAACAGUCAGAGAAUUGCUGGAAAUGUGGUGGUCUUGGAGAAGCUACUUACAGUGAGGAUGAAUACACAAUAGGAAGGGGUGAAAUGGAAGAUCUGUUUAUUUUGUUGAUAAGUCCAGCCAUAUCCUAUUAAGAAAAGUUCACAUUCUAAGGGGCAGUGCCACGGAGAUACUAGUCCAGAUAUAAUGAUAGCAACAGGGCAUGCAUGAAAUGUAUUUGAAGUUGAGUUGAACUCACAGAGGCUCUAAAUGCAGGAUGGUGAGCAGCUAUUUCGAACAUACAGCAACCUGGAAAAGCACCAAAUUUCUCUCCCUUGUCAAAUUAUGAAUAUCUAUAAUAAAAGAAGUUCAAAUAAUCCUUCUUAUGAGCAAUGCUGUAUUUAAGUUGCUGGCUUACCGAGAGACCAUAUGUCAGAUUUGUAACCGUAAGGAAUAUCUGCCAGGAGCUCAGGACACAUGUAGUUGGGAGUGCCAACAACCUGUAUAUUGCCGAGACGAAGAUAAGUUCACAUGAAGUCAACUCACAAAGUACUUUGAAGCAAUGAUAACUUUAACCAGACAUAUACAGACACAUAAUCUGUAGAAGCACUGCCCACGGGACUAAUCAUUGAGAUUAAAGAUCUAGUAGAUAUAAACAGUUUCGUACCGAUGAAGCGAGGUCUUCUGUGCCAAGUAGCUUCGCAAGUCCGAAAUCACCUGCACAUUGACUUACACUGCUUUAAGUAAAAAUGAUAUUUGAAGCAGGGAUGAUCAAUCAAUCAUAAGAUGGAGUUUAGGUCUUCAUACCUAGCCGGAUGUCAUUGUCCUUAGUAAGGAAUAUGUUGGAACACUGAAAUCAGAGGGCUUAGGUCAUGUUCACACAAAAAACAACUGUUUCUAAUUUUAAGGUAUCAGAAAUACGUAACCUUACUUUAAGAUCUCUGUGUAGUACACGGUUUGAGUGCAGGUAGUCCACAGCUAGCAACAACUGGGUUAACCAUUUGCAGAGUUUCUGCACAUAAAAAGAUCAAAUGCAAGGAGUGAGUACAGACUAUGGGUUAUCACGAGAAGAAACCACUUAAGAUCCAACUAAUUACCUCCUCAGAAAAAAAUAUCCCCCUCGCCUUCUUUAUAAUCCCAGCCCUGAAUUGCAAGGAAAAAAGGGAUCUCCCCUAGAUCAGUUACUUGUGGCGAGCAUUUAGAAGAAAAUAUUGAAAAAUGAAUAUUAGCUAUAGCAGGAGAUAUCAAUGUUAUUUGAUAUGUUCAAUAAAUCGAGAAGAAGCUUUUAGAUCAUCUCCUACUCAAUAUGUCUCCAUCACAUCUUAUAGGUAUAUUUUGCAGUGACAUGCAUCAUUACAAUUGCUUAAGUAUGUUCCACUCCAUCUAUAACGUGAUGAUGUCACACUAACAGAACUCUAUUCAUCCAGCAUUCUAACUUGUCAUCAAUGCGAUUUUGACAUGUACUUACAUGUCCCCUCCUUCACAGUAACCAGUGAUGAUGCAUAUACAGUUUCCCUGCAAAACAUAGUGAGAUUCAACAUGUCAUGAUUUGAUUCUAAAAUAGAAAUGUGACAUGUAUAAAUGUGAUGUUCACCUUAUCCACCCAUGCAUCUUUGUACUCCACAAUGUAUGGAUUGUGUAGUUUUGCAAUCAACUCCAUCUGCAUGUUGACAUAGAAUCAAAUUUCUCACAAAUUAGCAUUGGAAACAUAAACAGUAAGAAAUUUCAUCGGUUGAGGAGAUCAGAAAGCCAAUUCGCUAGAAUGUGCAUAAAGAUUUCAAUGCCAAAAAAACAAUGUGGACAAAGAGCUUUGGACCGAGACGUAGGGUCUAUAUAAGGAAAUGAGUUCCAGGCAUGUACGGAUUUUAGACAGUACAGCAUCGAACAGAGGACAAGUAAUGAAUUUCAUAUCAGAACACUCUACACUAAUUAAUUAGUAAAACAGUCCGAGACAAUGUGAUGCAGAAACAAGUGCGGCUGACUCCACUUCUACACUGAAAAACCCAUAAAUAUGUAUCGGAAAAGAAAGCGACCUCCUGGUGAGCCGUGCGUUUGAACUUCUCCGUCUGCUUUGCCAAGCGAAUUUUCUUCAGCACGUACCUGCAGAGAGACAAAAAGCGAAAAAUCGACGGGCCGAAGCUCAAAGUUAGAGCCUUUUGCUCGGGUUUGAAGCCAAGAUCCCACCACACACACACACUAAACAGGGGACUGAGGAUUUCUUCCAAUUGUCAAUACCAUCACCACCGACAAAACGACACUAACUGAAAAUCGCACACACAAUCAGCAAACCCGACCUCUUCAAAUCACCACGCUCUUUCCCGAUGAAAUUUUCCCCACACACUCUCGAACGGUGAACCGAACAAAAGAGGAGGGCAGGGGACGACUUACUUCUUCUUCUCCAAUUUAUGGAGCACGAGGAAGGCCGAUCCGAAGGCUCCCCGCCCAAUCUGCUCGAUCACCUCGUACGCCUCCAUCCUGGCGCCGGCGUCGCCGUUCUCCGCCUCCAUGGGGGAACGAUUCCCAGCCCCCCGACGAGGGUUUCCCCGGAGCUCCGGCCGCAGAUCUGCUACUUCCGGCGAAGGAAUCGGGGCUCCGGUCGAGCCGAGCUUACCGAAAGCAAUCGGGAGCGCCGGGAGGCGAGAGCUCUCUUAUAGCGAAGAGAGAGAGAGAGAGAGCUUUGCUUGCAUUUGCAGGUUCACGGACAUGGACGGACUCUCUGACAGUCUUUCUCUCUCUACUCUCUUCUCUCUUUCUCUCUCUUCAAGCAGAGCACGCGGAAGGAAGGAAUGUCCUGGGAGCACGAAGGUGCGAGGUCGCCAUCAUGGUGAGCGCCUUACCUGUAUUCACACUUCCGUCAGAAUUUUGCGGUUGAAAGAUGUUUCCAGAAAGUUUCUCUGCUCCUCGUUUUUGGGCCUCUAAGUAAGAUCAGAGCGGAUGAUGAUGGGAUUUUAACUUGAUAAUUUUAGUGAAGUCAUUUCAUACUUUCUCGCGCAGAAAAUAAAUUAACUUUUAUCUUUAUUUUCUCGAAAGAGUUCUGGCACAAAUUGUUGAUGAUAAUCCAACAUGCUUGAGUGAUUAACUUUUUUAGAAAUAUUGGUUAAAUCAUUCGCCAACUUUGAGUGAAUUUUCUUUUUUCUCCUGUGGAUAAUUUGGAAAUAUAAGCAUGCACCCCCAAUUAAAGUUUGGAUUUUUCAGUAUUUAAGUGGGCGAUUUCUAAUCUUUAAUUGAGGGAUUUCUUUGCACAUUUAUAAACAAUUAUUUUUACGAGCGAUUUAUAGUCAACCCCACCAUUAUUAUUAAAGUUAAAAUUAAGUGAUGUUCUUGUGGUCGCUCGAUCACUGACCCACCUAAAAAGGAAGGAGAAAAACUAUUGCGUUCAAACGGCAUCUUCGGGUGCGAUGAUGAUUAGAUAGUUUUUUUGGGGAUCGUAAAUUUGGUGAAGAAGAAUCAUUAUCUUCUUUUUUUUAUUUUUUCUUCUUGUCGUUGGUUGAUGGCUGCUACCUGCCAUAUCGAGUUUUUUUGGUUGGUAGGCUUGAUAAUUUAGCAGGUGAGUGUCCGAAAAUUAAUCCUUUUUGUUGUCUUUUUUUCAGUGACAAUUUGGCUCAACCAAUUAGGUAGGGGUUGCGAAAAGAAUCUUGAGACGACUUGUGCUGGAGAAGACCUUGUUAGGACAGCUCCAAAGCGACUCAUUGCAAAACAAUCAAAAAUGAUUUUUCUUUUUCUUUUCGAAAAGGGACGAGUAGCUUGAGCAAGUUGCUUGCUCACCUAAUGAAAGGGCUUCUGUGUACGGAUGAGGUGGAAUUGAGAAUGAAUUGAAAAUCUUAUGUUUCAAGAUAUGAAGUCACAAUCGCUUUAUCAACUUAAUUGAUUUCUCACGAUGAAUCAAUGUAGUCUCGAAUUUUAUUUUGAAAAUGAAAUAUUUUUGCCGGGAGAUGUGUUAAAAGCUGUGCAUAGCAUCACUGCCUUUUGAUUUGGCUUUGGCCCAUUCUUUACAAAUCAUUGCUCAUCAUGGCCGCAUCGCACCCUUUUUUCUCUCGAUUGUCGAAAACAUUCGAGGCGACAUUCCCAUCGCAUCUCUUUAUUGUUGCAAUGAUUUGAACCAUAAGUCUUUUCGUACCCAAUUUUUUAAAAAAAAGUGAAUUAGGAGACAGACGUGCCAAUUUCCUUCACAUCCAUUCACGAAAUCUAGAGCAAAGAUUUCGACAAUCAUGUUACCAAAUGAGAAAGGGGAGGAGGAGAGGAUUUAUAAACUCAAGAAAGUAGGGGGGGAAGGUGCUGUAGAGAUGAUGGGCCAGUGAUGCUUGAUUAGCACAUAAAGCAAAAGCAAAUGAGAUGACCACUCUUUUAUCUUCUCUUCUUUAAUUGGCAAAAGAAGACGAGAUGUCGGCAGCAUGAUGAGCACACUAGUGUCGGCGUACGUGCAAGGAAUAUGUUAAUGUCCUGUAGUAUGCAGUAGUUUAAUCGGAUUUGCAGCAGGGGCGAGCUACCGGACCGGUUUGACCCCAUAUACCUUAACUGGUUCGAUUCCUGGUUCUCUAACUUGAACGGGCCGAAUUUAUCCGAGAACCUGGAAUCUAUGAGGCCAGUUGGUCGCUCGGUGUUUACAAGUAUAAAAGUGAGUUGGAAUAAAAGUGUGUAAGAUGCCAUCGGCGAGUUGAAUCAGCGGAUGGACCAAGCCUUUCGACUCUUAUUGGCUUUGCACGUCCUCUUUCUUGAGCCCACCGAGAAGAACCAUUCGUAAAGAAUAAGAUGGUCAAAUGUGACGAUUCACUGCCAACUUUUAUAAGCAUCGUCACAGUUCAUAAAGAUGCUCAUGAUAACCAUUAUGUUUAUCUUUUUUUGUAAAGUAUUCUAUUUUCUGAAACAAAUUUAGAAUAGAAAUCUUUUUAGUAAUGCAAUUUCAUUUUUCUAAUUUCGGAAUAAAUUUUUAACUCAGAUUUAGGUUUAAAACAAAGAUGAGAAGUAGAAAUUCUCUAUUUUUCGUUAAAUACUCUUUUUAUCACUUGACCCCAACCAACCACCGGCCCCAACAAUCAAUGUAUGAUUUCCGCAUAUGUCCACACUCAAUUCAAUCGAUCAAGGGUGUUUUAUCUCACAAAAGAGUGAACCGGUGAAAGGAAAAGAAUAUUGGAUGGGGACAUAUAGGGUGCGCAUGGUAACACUUCUUGGUUAGGGAACAGUUUCUUUUCAAAAAUAAUUCUUUUCUAUUUUUACUCUGGGGAACAAUUUCUGAGUAAAAUAAGGUAUUUGGUAAUUACACAAAAUUUCUACUCUUGAAAUAGAAAAAAAAAAUAGAAAUGUGUUUGGUAUGAAACAUUUUUUUUUUGUAUUUAUUCUUUUUUUAUUCUUACUCACGGAACGCCGACCGCCAACUGCCCCCCAUCGCCGCCCUCUGCUGCCGCUGCACGAUGGUUGGCGGCCGGCGGUCGUGCGACGGCGGCUGGCGGCAAUGGGUAGGUAGAGAAUACCUAAGGGCGCGAGACAACUUUCUCCAAGGAACUUAGCAAAAUAGCCCCGUAACUUCGGGAGAAGGGGUGCCUCCUCUCACAAAGGGGGUCACAGUGACCAAGGUCGAGUGACGGGUAGGUAAAGAAUACCUAAGGGCACGAGACAACUCUCUCUAAGGAACUCAACAAAAUAGCCCCGUAACUUCGGGAGAAGGGGUGCCUCCUCAAAAGGAGGUCGCGAUGACCAAGCCCGGGCGACUAUUUACCAAAAACACAGGUCUCCGCAAAGUCGUAUUGUGUUUUCUAGCUUGUGCUUCUUGGCAACUAUCUGGCAUUGGGUAUAUUGGGAUUUUGAAAUAUUUUGUGAUGAGCGUACAAGACACGAGAUAAAUCUUCCAAAGAAUAAGGCUUUUUUUGAAUAAGCCAAUUCAUUUGGGACCAUGCAGAUCCACUCUUUUUCCUAUUCAAAGAUCAACCAUUUAUCUCUGUGGUUUCACAUCGAGAAUUCUUUGCAGAUGAAGAGAUGUCAAAGGGGCUUCUUACUUCCCAAACAGAUUCCCCUACAUUUAUAUAUAAACGCUGGUUUAUCAAGAAUACACAAGAAAAGCACUUUUGAAUUGUUGAUUCAUCGCCAGAGAUGGCUUAGAACCAAUAGUUCAUUAUCUAAUGAAUUUUUCCAUUCUAAUACUCUAUCCGAGAGUUAUCAGUAUUUAUCAAAUCUGUAUGAAGUUUCAUAUUUGGUUCUUUAAGUAGGGCCGAUAGAGACUCCAUUUAAUUUAGGUUAAUCUCGGCAAAAAGCAGACCUAGGCUCGGUCAACUGGAAUGUGUAUUAUCCAUAUAGGGGAUCUUCCAAUCGAGACGAUCCAUCAACCUGAGAUGCCAAUUGGCACAUACAAUACGUUCGAUCCAUGAGAAGACGAUCCAUCGACCUGAGAUGCCAAUUGGCACAUACAAUACGUUUGAUCGCUUCUCGUGGAUUUUCAUAACCCUGUUGUGCAAAAAUGAGAUAUGCAUUUGAAAUGGAUGUCCAAGCUAUGAUAUUUAUCAUCAGCAAUACAGAAAUAGAUCAAAUAAUCUCUUUCUUUAUCCAAGAAAAUGUGUUUUUAGUUUGCAUGGUCCAAUCAUUGAUCCCGAAAAUUUCUACAAUAAAAUUAGGUAGGUUGCUAGUAAGAAAUAGCGUAAGUGAAUCAAGGUGGAUCAACAGGCCAACAAAGGCCUUCUACCGCAGCAUACCCACAGGCCAAUGCCAAUCUCUUAGGCCAAGUUAUUCUAUAAGAAUUUGAAGAAUUUGUUAUAAGCAGAUUUAUUAGAGCCUUUAAUCAAUGGUGUUGGGUCAAAAUCCCUUUUUGACUCUAUGCCAGUGAUUCCACUAUUAUUAGUGAACAAUAAUAUAAUGAAAUAAUUCCUUCAUAGAGAUAGGGGACAUAAUUUACAUAGAUAUAGUAAGUCUUGCUUGUGGCGAUGGCCGGCGGUGGCUCCAAGCAGUUGGAGGUGGCCACGGCAAGAGAGAGAGGAACAAAAGAAAAAUUAAAAAGAAAAUUAACUUAUUUCUAGAAAUUGUUUCUAAGAAUAAGAAGCUAAUUUUUUUUUUUUGUGACUCGUGAACCGCCAUGCAGCCGAUAGCUAGUGGCAUAAACCCGGGGCGACUCAAAGGGACCCACCUCUCACGGGCCGCAGGUGAGUCACGCAAUGGGGGUGAGAAGUUUCGAAUCUCUUCCCUAUCGAUUAAGGAGUGAGGCGCGAACCAUCUCAUCCACCGCAGGGUGGGUAAGAAUCUAUUUUAUUUAUUUAUUUAUUGUUUCUGUUCUAAAUCUAUUCUCGGACUAUUUUUCUAUUCUGGGAAUAGAAAAACAAAUUAGCGUUAUUAAAUGAACUUUUGUUCUUUUUUUUGUUCUGAGGAAUAAAAUAACAGAAAUUUAAAAGAACAGAAACGUUAGCCUGCAGGCCAUAAGAAGUUUAAGGAAACGGACUUUUGGUCCGUGAAAAUUUUGUGUUCUGCUCAGAGACAAAACAAUGGUCAGAAAUUUUUCCUAAAAUGCUUUAUCAUUUGCGCGCUAAUCGUGCGAGGAAGUCGUGGCGUGACAUUCUCGACGUAAAGACGUAACGCAGUGGAUGCUUUGGCAGAAGAGUGGAUCACACGUCUCCACCGUCAGCAAACGGUGGCAUCACGCACCUAUAGACUCUGUACAUGGUCAAAUCCCAACAUUAACCCAUGAACUGCCAAUCCAGUAGCUUGGAAUUGCCCACCAUAUAAGCGGACGAAACAAGGGUGCGUUGAGGAAAUGCCAUCGGAACACAGGCGGGAAAAUCAACCGCGCACCAACUUAAGCUCCAUCGGUGAGCAGCGCAACAGGGUGCUCGAAGCGAACAUGAUUGCGUCGCUACCCAGUCUUCGUCCCUUAGCGCGAAGAUGAUUUCGUGGGCCAUGCCUCACGUCAGGAGGCUCUCUUCCGCGACCUCGAGUCGCGCGACUAUGAUCCAAUGCAACACCCGGUUGAGGGAGCUGGUCAAAACGGGUUCUUUGGGUGAUGCCCGCUCGCUGUUCGACAGUAUGCCUUAUAGAGACGAGAUUUCGUGGACUACCCUGAUUUCUGGGUAUGUGGGCGCCACGGAUAUAACGGAAGCUUUUGCUUUGUUCUCCGAUAUGCGGGGCCAGCCAGCACUCCACGUGGACCAUUUCGUGCUCAGUCUUUUGCUCAAGGCUUGCGCGCUUAAUAUGAACCCGAAUCUUGGCGAGUUGGUGCACGGAUAUGCCGUCAAGACGGGAAAUGCAAACUCGAUAUAUGUGGGCAGUGCCCUUCUUGACAUGUACACAAAAGCCGACAGAAUCGAGCUGGGUUAUAGAAUAUUUGAUGAGAUGCCACUGAAGAAUGUUAUUUCUUGGACUGCCCUGAUAAAUGGGCUUGUUAGCUGUGGCCACUAUAGGGAGGCGGUGUCCUGCUUUGCAGAAAUGUGCAAGUCAGAAGUGCAAUGUAACGGGCACACAUUUGCUAUUAUUUUGAAGGCGUGCGCUGAUCUUGGUGCUUUGAGCUGUGGGAGGGAGAUACAUACGCACAUAAUUAAGAAAGGCUUUGAUGCGAGCUCAUUUGUGGCUAAUUCACUUGCCACAAUGUAUAACAAGUGUUGGAAGUUUGACACAGCCGUGCAGUUACUUGAAAGGAUGCCCACACAGGAUGUAGUGUCGUGGACGACAAUAAUCACAACAUACAUUCAGAUGGGUAUGGAAGAAUCUGCAUUUGUAACAUUUUUAAGGAUGAAAAGAUCUGAUGCCAGUCCUGAUGAAUACACAUAUGGAGCAGUUAUCUCUGCAUGUGCUAGUCUUGCAAGAACUAGAUGUGGCGAACAAUUACAUGCUCAAGUUCUGUGCAAAGGUCUUUUAAAUUCCUUGCCAGUGGCAAACUCCAUAAUCAGCAUGUAUUCACAACUCGGCCAAUUAUCUUCAGCACUAGCUAUUUUUCACGAAAUCACCAAGAGAGACAUUGUUUCAUGGAAUACUAUAAUGACCGGGUAUUCUCAAGAAGGUUAUGGCGAGGAAGCUUUUGAGCUUCUGUCAUGCAUGAGGAUGGAAGGACUCAGGCCCACUGAGUCAACUCUUGCGGUUUUUCUUACUGUGUGUGGUAAUAUGGCUAUUCUCAAGCAAGGGAUGCAACUUCAUGCUAUUGUCCUGUCUUUGGGUUUAGAACAGGCACCUACAAUACAAAGUGCUUUAAUUAAUAUGUAUGCCAAGUGUGGGAGUAUAAAAGAAGCAUCUAAAAUCUUUGAUGCGGCAACAAAUUAUGAUAUUGUGGUGUGGACAACAAUGAUCAAUGGAUAUGCAGAACAUGGUUAUAGCAAUGAAGCAAUUGAUUUGUUUGAGAAGCUGGCUAGUGUCGGGUUGAGACCAGAUCCUGUGACAUAUAUUGGCAUUCUUACUGCAUGUAGUCAUGCUGGAAUAAUCGAUCUCGGUUUUAACUAUUUUAAAUCAAUGACCAAGGAACAACAAAUUAGUCCCUCAAGAGAACACUAUGGCUGCAUGAUUGAUCUUCUCUGCCGAGCUGGAAGGUUGGAUGAGGCAGAACACAUGAUCAAAAGCAUGCCAUAUGAAUGCAAUGAUGUUGUCUGGUCAACUUUGUUGAGAGCAUGUAAAAUCAAUGUUGAUGUGGACCGUGGAAGGCGAAUUGCCGAGCAGAUUCUCGAGUUAGACCCAAAUUGUGCGGGAACUCACAUUGCCCUGGCUAGUGUCUAUUCUGCCAAUGAGCGAUGGACUGACGCAGCUGGAAUAAGGAAAAUGAUGAAGUCAAAAGGAGUGACUAAAGAGCCUGGAUGGUCUUGGAUUAUGGUUAAGGACUGUGUGUCCACAUUUGUAGCAGGUGACCAGUCUCAUUUACAUAGUGAAGAACUAUACGAUGUUCUGAAUUUACUUUGCUCAGGAGAAACUUGUGUUCAGGAUGCGGUUUCCCUCAUGUAUGAUGUUGAGGACUGAAAAGGAGCAUUGUCUUCAUUAUUCUCGUUAAUUAGCAGAGUUGGCUGCAGAAAAGGAUUAAUGGAAAAAGUUGAGGUUGCCCAAAAAUGCUCCCAACCAACAGGUAUGAGAAGGGUGCAUUCUUCACAAUUGCCUUGUUCCUAGAGCUUGAUUUGCAAUGACUGAUGUUGCUUAAGUCAUACAUAUAUAUUAGUAACAGAAUGUUCUUCGAAAAGGUCUACAGGGUAAGCUACAUAACACAUUUAUUGAUAUUCUUCUGCAACAACAGGCUCGAAGUGGUAGCAUCUUCCUUUAUAAUAAUCAGGCCAUCAGCCCACAUCCACAUACCAGUAGAAGAAUUCCAAUCAAAUUAGAUAUGAGAAGAAGGUGCAUUGUGCAUGUCUGUCUUGGUCAUGGAAAAUGCAUGAUAUACAAUAAAUGACAUUUCUUGGACCACACAGUUCCAAUUAAAAUCACAGCUCGACUAAUCCCUUUACUCGAGCUAGGCACUUUACACGUGUCCCCUUAUUGGCUCAAUGAACAUGAUCUCAAAUUGGCAUACAUUUUCUUUCUGCUUCUGGCAGUAGACAUAAAAAGACAGAUCUCACUUUCAUCUCAUAAAGUAAAGAUAGUUCCAUUCAAAUCUUAAAUUAUUAUGAAGCUCAAGUCUAUUUGGUCCUUUUAAUAACCCCCACUCUUCUGCCUUCUCUGCUUUAGAAUUUGACAGGAUUUAGUAUCUGCAGGUCUUCAAGAGGAGUUUUGAAAAUGCAGCAUUUCCCAUUGCCUUUUCUAUUACCCAUUUUCAUACACUAAGCUUGUUUACAUGUCCAGGUAGAAGCAGGUGAUGGUUUCGUAAGAACUAGAGGAAUAUAUAUGAUGCCGAAUGGAAGCCAUAAUUAUGCCUAUGGCUUCAAUGCUUAUUGUUUGAUGACACAGCGUUUGUGGAUGCAUACAAAAAUACAGCUGCAUUCCGAGAGCUUCAAGCCAUGGCCUUAGCGUUGCAAGAACCUGCGGUUUCAUGGAUGAUGGUUAUAGACCUCAACUGUACUCUUUUGUUCCUAAAAUGGAGGUGAUUCACUGUCAUCAUAAUUCAUGCAGGAAUUUUGGGUCUUCAAAUCUCUUAGAAUAUGUUUCUAAACACAAGAUCCCAGUUGUCCCUCUCUAAUUUUUAAUAUAUUCCCUAAAUACUGACUAGACUGACCUAUUUUGUCGAAGAUGUCGUGUGCCUGACUUGUUUGAUGAUGAGUAGCAUGAUUAAUUGCUUUUUGGGGUGUUGGCUAUAGAACGUCUGCUUUCAAGUGGGAGGAAAGGAGACACCACGCAAACGGGUUGCAAUUGCCAUCCCAAGAUGUAGGGCAUUGGACUCUUUGGAAUAAAUUGUGUGAUACUGUGUCGAGGAGGCCUGUAGGGAGGAAGAGACUGGAGUGGCUCUUGCUACAUAAAGUUUAGGGUAACACGAAUUGAAGUUGCUUACCUCGUGUUUUCAACAAUAGAUGUGCUUUCUAGAGUUUAGGGCCAUUUAUGGGCAGGCCAUGCAGAUAAUGUACAGUGAGUUGUUGCCGUAUCUGUUGUUCCUUUUCUGGUAGAGUUAAAAUUUGGGACUCAAUAAAAUGACAGUUUCAAUCACGGAAUAUGAAAAGGGAAAAAAAGGGGCUGUUUCUGGUUAAACAAACUAUUAGGAAAAAUAUUCUCAAGACUGUCUGAAGUUGCACCCACAACAAAAAGAUACUCCUAAGAAUUAUAUUGAUGUUUUUAGAAUGAAAGAAAGUCUACGGAAUGACAAUAAGCAAGGAUUUUUUUUUUCUGAGCUCAUAAAAUUCAAACUGAGAAGGCAACUGUCUUAUACAAGUGUUGGGAGAGUAUUUUCUGUGCUGUUACAAAUCAUAUUUGCAAGAAUGAUUAAGAAGGCAUCGUGAAAUAUUUGUUUGCCUUUGCUAUUAACUUAUUAUGUUGGAUCUCGUGCUUGGGAGCAGUUAAAAACUCAUUUUACUUCUUGUCUUCUUCCAAUCAAUGAUCUGUGCGAAAGGGUGGGGCCUUUGUUAAUCAUUAGACCAAUGAAAGAAUUCACUAUGUUUGAGAUGGAGCACUCGAAAUCGUACAUAUAAAAGAAACUGUCAUAUAAUCUAGUCAAGGGGAAUUAAGUGAUCAAUGAUUUUUUUGUGUUCAGAGUGAAUUAUCCAGGUUUAAGAAUGCAGAAGCCCCUGUUUACUAUCUCUCUCUCACUCUAUAGGAAUCUUUAUGGCAAGUGAAGAUGCCAGACUCCAAAAGGUCCCAUCCUUUCCAUCAAUAACUGAGGCUUUUUUGGAAGUGCCACCACAGCCAAUAUAUUUCCCAACUUCCAAGUGCCACAUGGACAUGCUGCCGAGGCAAGAACAAGCUAAGCUUGCAGCUUGUCCUGGUAGCAGCAUUGUCACGGGAAGCUCCGGCAAGAGUGGGAAGCACACAGUUGCUGGUGUAAGGGCUGUGCAAGGGUUGCGCUGGGUAUCAAAGUCUCCUCAAUCGGAGUUCACCAAAAUCCAAUGCAACUGGUAAUUCAAAAGUUUUGGACCUACUGGGUACACUGCAUGAUGAAAGCAGGUGGAUUUGAUCGGGUUCAACUGCAGGUGCAGCAACUUCCUAUAAUUCAGCACAGGUGAGAAGAUCCAGCUACCUUAGAGACCAUGCAAUAAAGGCAAAUCUCAUGAACUGAUUAAAUCUAGACCUUUGGCCUAUGCAGGUGGCCCUAAUCCAGAGCAGUUUGCACUAAAUAGAUGAGAUUAGACGGAUGACCUCCGGUUGCUCUUCGAGAUGGUGCAUCAGCAUCACUAUUCUGAUAUGCAUGGCUGCCCCUCUGAUCACUGGACCGCUGCCCAGGAUGCUAUUGCUAAAGGAAACCUCAUCCGUCAUCAAGGCAAUAAGAAUUUGAUAAUAUCUUAGAAUGCGGGAGCUGCAUUGAAGGGUCUCAGACUCUAGUCUGAUGCUAGUUUGACUUCCUGUGAGCGCAGCAUGCCAGCUAGCUCAUGUCUUGAAGCUUUAGCAUUGAGGACAUUUUCUCAUGUAAACAGCAUUUGCAACACAGCUCAUGAUAGCACAAUUUAUUUGUUGCUGGGUACGGAAUUUGUGUCUCUAACGACGUGCCACUCGGAAUCUCGGAUGGAUGUUGUCAUUUUGGUUGUAAAAUAUGUGAUUUGAAGUAUUACUAGUUAAGAUUUGGCAAAUCGUAAGCAUGCAGAACGUCUCGUGCAUUUUAGCAUGUGAACUGGCCUAGGCUCUGCAAACAAAAUCUGCACAAAUUGGAUAUCCAAUUCCCAACUUGCUGAUCGUCCUUGCGCUGGACACCCAGUUAAAUUCUAGUUCUCCUUUUAGCUGUUUCCAGCUAAGUCAAGUAGGACACAUUGCUCCUAACCCCAAGAUGCGGCCAUGGCAUUAUACUAAAAUCUUGAUUGGUUCUAAUCUGAUUAGACAAAGACAUUGCUCUGAAGUUGCAAUCAAGAAUUUUGACUGAAUCGCUAAGCUUUGACCUUAUUCGUCUCAAAAUUGAGAGUUUAGUGCAACCUAAAAUUGCUUGGUGCCUACUUGUUUUGUGGGAAGCAUUAACAAGUUUUGUUUUGCCGAGCUAACAAAGAGAUUUGAGAACAAGUCAGUCUUAUAUACUUAAAAUCUGGCUCCACUGUUUUAUGACAAUUGAGAUGAAGUAUAUUGAGCAAGUCUUCUGCUCAAAAGAUCAUAUGUACAUCCCCCCUCUAUUCAAGGAUAGCAUAAAUAUGGAAUCAACUCAAAUUGAUCUCUCAAGGAUAAUCAACGAUGUCUUGAGUUCAUGUUAAAAUAAUAUUUACUACAAUUCGUUCAUGCCAUCACCUUAUGCGAUAGACCGAAAUUAAACAGGUGGCAUUGAUGAAAUCAAGAAAGCAGAAUGAAUAAAACCAUAUUCAUAAUCCAAAACUUGAGCUUCUCUAGUUUUUCUUCAUCUAGAAGCUGCUGAACAUUCAUUGGCAGUCUUUUUAAUGUUCAAAUGAACCCCUGGAGAAUGAUCAGCCAUUUGGUAGAAAAAUCUAGUUCUUGCGCUGCCAGAAGAUAAGGAAACAAACCAAGAGUGCAUUGAGCAUCUGUCAUCCCAAAAUAUCAUCCAAACAAAGGGGAAAUCAAACACACCAAUUUUGGCUACAGAAAUUAGGAGCAUAAGAGAGUGCUCAAAGCAACCAAAGCUAUACACAGUUAAUCCAAUCAAAAGCUACAUCACAUGUUCCUGUUAUUUCUGCCUGGACUUUUUGGCAGACUUUCGGCUCUCAAUUUUCUUUCUUGCAGCCUCAAACUCUUCUUCACUGGGUUCCGAACUCUGCAUUCCACCACCAUAUUUAUUCACCAGAGAUGAAAACAUGGAAUCAAAAUGCUCCUUUCGCUCGCUACGGCGCUGAGAUAUAAUUGCAAGAAGAUCAUCUGACUUCUUCGCUCUAUCAAGAAAUGGGAAACAAAGGUUAGCAUUCCAAUUCAAAAGAACAUACUACUAACAGUACAGUCAAGAAAUCGAAACAAAAACCAUGUAGAAUAGAAAGCCCAGUGCAGCUGUGUCACUCACUUCCCCUUCUUUCUAAGAGGAUCCGUAGGUGGUUUAGUUUUGGAAAUUUGCUUUGCCCACUUCUCGUAUGCCUUGGUUGUCUUCAACGUUCCUGUAGGACACAGAGAAACAAAGCAUGCAAUAAGCACUAUAACAGGAUAGUGUACGCUACAUUAUCAAGCACGCAUAAGAUCUAGGCUACUAAACACCAGUAUCCUCAGACCAGCAUUAUUUAGAAACAUAAAAAGACAGAAAAAAGGAUGCUCUCCAUAAAAGUAAAUGAGCAACCUGUGCUAAAUUUUAUCAUUGUGAAAGAAAUUUUUUUUUUACAUAUUGAACUCACUGUUAUUAAACUCCAUAAAACACGAUGAAGCCCAGCCCUGCUUGAAGUCUCAAAUUCUGACUGAGGUUUAAGAGUAAAUCUAACAGUCAAUAAGAGAUCAAAUUGUCAAAAAACCAACCUGCUGCUAUUGCAUCAUCAAUGAUAUCCUUAAAGCGGUGGGAAUCAAGCUUGGGAUCUGAGCAGAGCAUCGAACAGAAAAGCCUGUGAAGGAAAAGAUACAAAAGAUUUCAAAUACUUUUAUGUCAGAUAGGCAUCUAUAAGAAAGGAAAAAAGAGAGGAAAAAGGACAUAUGAACCCCACCUGUUCAUGUUACCCUUACAUUUCUCGUAUAGAUCAAUAAGAUCAUUCUUUUCAGAAUCAGAACCUCUAUAGUUUGCCUCAAACUCUUCAAUGUCUGCUUCAGUAACCACCUGGAUGAAGCCAUGUCAGAUAACGAGAUAUUCAUGCAAGAGAAUGUCAUUCACAUCAGAAAGAUGUCAUUCCAGGUAGAACAUGAUCAACCUUGAAUACAGCUCUAAAAUACCCGUGCAGAUUCUGAGCGACUUCCCCUGCAAGGUCCUAAGUACCAGGAAGACAGAUGUGAGAAAAAACACUCGCAAUAAUGAAAGAAAACUCUAACUGCCCAAUAAUAUAAACUAUUAUACUUGGGCUUAAAGUAUAUCACAAUUUGAUCAUCUUUCGUCACAUUUUAGCUAGGCCAUUUCAAAGCACAGAGUCUAUGGACCAUGCUAUCUUACAUAUAUUCAACUAAGUAACAUAAUUUCUCUCUUUGCUUGCAGCAGCUAUUUAUCUAUCGGAUAGAGAUCGAGACUUAAUUCUCUCCUGUUUUUUGUGAUUAUGCUUCUGCAGAGAUUCAGGUGGAACUCACAGCAUCAUCAACACAGCCAGUCUGAUCAUAUAAUGCCCGUUUCUCUUCAUCACCUAGAAUCGAGAUCACCUUUUGUAAUUGCUGAAAUUUUUCUUUGGCUUCCUGAUGAAACAAGAACAAGACAAAUUACAACAAAGUGGAGUUAGAGAUUGCAUGAGCUAGUCCGACAGAAACUAUUUCAAUUCUCUAAGACAUAGGAGCGUUGGAAUUAACUUGACCUCAUCACCAGGAUUCUUAUCAGGAUGGAGUCGCAGGGCCAACUUAUAGUAUGCCUUCUUAAUUUCCUGCUGAGUUGCUGUCCUUUCAACACCAAGAAUCUGCAAUGCAUAACAUCUUCAUUGAAUAACCUCCCAUUCACCCUUAAGCAAAUGCAGCUACAAAACAUGGCAAAUGCAUUACACUCUUAUUCCCAAUACAUGAACAUAUCCUUUUUUCUGAUCCUUAUGCAGCCAACGUGAUCCUAGAAAGAGGAAGCUUACUUGCCCGGAAGUACCAGACUAAGGCUAAUGAGUGCUUACGGAUCAUAAACUUCCUAAGGAAAACUGAAGAUAAAGAACUGAUCCUGACGGUUGCCUCGUGGACAGAGUAAUCAGCUUCCGUGGAAACGAAGCAUCAGAAAUGACAGCAUGCCAAUCAAGAGAAGUUCCAGAAGCUCAAAAGCUACAUCUACUAACCAUCUAAGAACAUGAAAAAGAAAACUAGGAAAAUGAACCGGCAAAGCAGCUCUCAGUUUCGUUAUCAGUUCCUUUUCUAAGCGGCUCUCCAACAUUGAAAUUCUCGAAUGAAGCUUACAGCAUCCUCUCAGCAACUGAAAUGAAAAAACAAAUACUGCAUCUUCUCUUGAACCGCACAGUUGAGUCAUUCAGCUUAAAGCAAUUACUCAUCAUGCACAUCUGCACUCCCAGCUAAAGUAAACCUCCGCUUUCACCAUGUGAGCAGCGAUUAGCGCUGAAACCUAAACCUAAUUAGCAAAAAUCCUAGGUCAAAAUCCCUACUAGAGAUUGCACCAGCCCCUUAAUUAUCCAUCCCCGCCAAGCAAGAGUAAUGAACUCGAGAACAGGAGAAAUCGGAGCACCGAAAUUGGACUCGACCAUGGAAAACGCCAAUCCAAUCCAAUCCGAUCGAGCAUCACGAGUACCAAACAUCAUAUCCCCAUCAAUCCAUCCCAAAACCACGACCUAGGCAAAAGACAGGGAGGGGGGACGCAAGAGUUUUCCCAAGCUCACCUCGUACAAGCUCGUCUCGGCCGCGGAAGACUCCGCGCGAUCCCCGCCGCGCGUCUCGUCGCCGUCGUCGUCGUCGUGGGGAGCCCUAGGUUCCUUCUUCUUCCGCCCCAUGCCUGCGUGGCCUGGGAAGCCGAACCGGACGUCGAGAUGGGAGGGACGAUCGCUCGCUCGGUUGCUUGCCGUGAAAGAAAGAAAGGGAACUCGGAAGAGGGAUUUGAAAGGGAGAGGGCGAGGCCGGAGGGCUCCGGUUUCGUCGGGUUUUAAUAUUUCGGCGCCGGAAUUGUUCCCGCCAUUUCGCGGGUUUUCCUUCGCCCGCCCUACCCUCUUUCCCGCCGGAAUGGCGUGAAUGGGAUUUGGGAAUUGAUAAUGGCUUUCGAGUGCAUUUAGUUGAGCUUUUCAAAUAUGCUUGGGUUGUAAUACAAACGCUGAAGAUCAAAAUCCUUUUGAGGGAAUGCAAAAAUAAACUUUGGAUUUAAGGAAUGUUUGGCCAAAAAAACCUUUUAUAACGGGCUUUGACUAUAAUUUUUAUAUCUUUUUUAUUAAAAAAAUACUUAAUCAUUUACUGGUUACCAUUGCCAGUGCUUGGUCGGUUGAGGUCACCCAACCUCUCCAGCUAUCUUCAAAGAUGGUCGUGCGACUUAAGCGACGCAUGACACAGGAAAUCAUCGACCACUAAUUUGUCCUCUAUCGAUCGCUAUCACACAAAGAAGAUGAACAAUUACAUGAAGAGGCAAAACUAAAAAACUAACGAAUUAGUGAGGAUGGUUAUUAAAAAAAAAACUAAUUUCAGUAUUUGGUGAAAUACUGAAAACCUCCUACUAGUUUUAGACUUUUAACUUUUCCAAUAUCAGUAAUUGGCCAAAGGCUUGUUGAGUUGUCAAUAACAUUUUCCAAAGGGAUUUUCAAGACCAAAAGUUUUUUAGAAAAGCUAAACCAAAUGCACUCUUAUCUUCUGCCCUAAAUAUUAUAGUAUUUUGCAUUUAUAGGUAAUUAUCUCUAAGCAUAAUCAUAAGAGACUAAUCCUUAAUAAAAAAAAUUACGUGCUCAAGAAGUUCCGUCAUAAUUGAAAAAUAAGUGCUGAAAUUUUACUAAGUUUUGCGCAGAUGUCCACUUACUUCGCACUGUAUACAUGUGAUUUAUGCAUUGCUUCAUUCAAAAAAUAAGUUCACGCGAGAAAAAUUAUACAUUAGGUUUUUUUUUUUUUAUUGAUUCUGAAAACAUAUUAACAUUGCUGCAUGUUUUCCCAAUUCAAGCAAGAAUUAUUCGAGAAAGGAAAGAGGCCAUAUUAUGAGGAGCUUAAAGAUGAUAAUCAAUCGACAUUUUGACUUUCACAUAACAUGUCAUGAAAAUAAAAUCAUAUCAUGAUCAAGAUUUGAAAAGAAAAUAUCUCUGAGGGUUGAUAGAUGCCAUUUAAUCUUAAAAUCGGGUUUUUUCUUAGAAAAAAAAUAAACAACGAAAGCUAAAAUGUACACUCGGCUGAAAGGAUUUAAUUUGUUUCUGCGAUUCUGAAAAAUUGAAGGAUUUAAGGUGGGGAAAACAAGAUAAAAGGCUAUAAAAAAAGAAAAAAAAAAGAGAGAGAGAUAUAACUAACGAUUUGGUUAGGUCGUUCAGUUUUCACAAAACCCGCCAAGUGAGUUUGAAAGAGAGAGAGAGAGAAAAGGAGAGAGAGAAGCCAUCGCUCGAUAGUUCGAUCGUCGCUUGAUCAUCUUCUUUGCUUCGCCUGCGGAUUCUUCUCGCUCGCUGUAAAAUUCUAGUGUCUUUUCGCUGUCUGGCUUGUACUGGGAUUGCCUUUGCUUUAAAUCCCGAAUUCCACAUCGAAUGUAGUUUUCAUCUUGGUUGCAGGUGAUCUGGUUGGAUUUGUCGCUCAAGAUUGGCCGAAACGAAGACGACGAAAUUGGUCUCUCUCUCUUUCUGGGUAUUUAUAUUUCCCCCCCCCCCCAGACUGGUCUUGCCUACGUUGCUAACAAUCUUGUGUGCGCGUGACUUGGUUGAUGGCGAUUGGCGUGAUUUCGUGGUUAAUCAGGAUGUCAGUAUACGGUACGAAAGGCAGUACCAUGUCCAUGUGAAGAGGCUGCAAUUGCAAUCCCAAAAUGUCAUUGGGUUCGGAUUCGUUGGCAUGAAUUAUGUUUAUAUCGUGUUCUGCCGGGUUGGUAGGAAUAGAAAAGACUGCGUCUUGUUACAUGUAUUGAAGUGCAGGGGUGUCGUGUUUUCGAUCCUGGGCGUGUUUUCUUUGCCUUCAUCUUGAGCUAAGGGCCAUUUGCGUAACAGUACAUAUCAAUGGUGAUGAUUGACAUAGAAUUCUUGUCGUUUUUGUUGUUAUAUCUGUUUCUCCCCUAAACGAAGGACUCAAAAAGAUGAAAGUUUUGAUCAUGUAAUCUGCCUAAGAUACAUCUGCUUGCGACAAUUAGGAUGAAAUAAUAUGCUUGGAGUCAAGACGGAUGCUGUUCCCACAAGGGAAAGAUAUUUCUAGAGAUGGCAUUGAUGUUUCUUAAGAAUGAAAGAGCGUCUAGGGGAAUGAUGCUAAUCGAGGAGUUAAGUCUUUCUCGGCUUGGAAGAUGCAAACUGAAAAGGCGAAAUUGCCUUAUGAAACCAUCAGGAGAGUUUGCCCGUGCCGUAGCAAAGCAUGUUAAAAAAGAAAUGGGGCUUUAAUCAAAUAUUUGUUUGCUUUUGUGUCAAUUUACUUCUCGGGAUCCAUGGUUUUCUGUUUAUCGGCUUGCAUGCUUUACACUGAAUAUUACAUCUAGGGGAUAGUAAUGCAUAGCGUGAUGCUUGCUUGUAAACAAUGCAAUUAUUAUCUCAAAGCUGAUGUGCUCUCAGCACUCAGCUCCUUGUGGGCUUCUACUCGUCUCUCGCCCUGGUCUAUGUGAAAGGGAGGGGGGCUUUGUUGAUGAUUAAUAAACAGAAUUUACCGUCUCUAUGCAGCCCUUGGCAUGAGAGUAUAAAGGAAACUGUCAUAUGAUCUAGUCAAGGCAAUCGAUGAUUUAAUUAAUAUCCAGAGUGUAUUGUGCUGGUUCCGGAAGGCAGAAGCACAUGUUCGUUCUGUCCCUUCUUGUAUUUGUUUUUGGGUCUGAGAGAGAGAUGAAGGAUCUGGUCUGUCCCUAAAACUUAUUUGGGUUCUUCUGAUGACUCCUGCCAAUUCACAUUAAAGCUAACCUGAAAAUGCCUGGGAGCUUUCCGUCGUUUUAAUUCCUUAUCAGAAUUCAUUUUGGAAUGUUCUGUUUAAUGUCAAUAAAAGAAGUGGGAAUUCAUGUUUCAUCAACAAAUGAUUUACCCCCGUUUGCAGGAGUUGGAAGCUAUGGAGUUUCCCAACGGGAUGGGAUGGCAGAGUACAAAAGGCUGUAUCCUUUGCAUCAAUUGCGGCUUCUUCGGAAGUGCAGCCAUGGGAAACAUGUGUUCCAAGUGCCACAAGGACAUGCUGCAGAAGCGAGAACAAGCUGAGCUUGCAGCUUCUUCCUCCACCACCAGCAUUGGUGCAGCAAGCUCCGGUGAGAGCGGGAAGGAGCAUGCAGUUGCUGGUGCAAGGGACGUGCACAGUGGUGCAGUGGAUGUUGAAGCCUCGUCAAUCACUAGUUUACCAGAAUCGACUUCAACUGGGAAUUCAGCUGCAUUGUUAUUCAGAAAUCUCAGAAUGAAUGUGAAGGAAGGGCCUAAUAGGUGCACUGCAUGCCGCAAACGCGUGGGUCUGACCGGGUUCAACUGCAGGUGCGGCAACCUUUUCUGCGCGGCGCAUCGCCACGCUGAUGAGCAUGACUGCUCCAUUGAUUAUUGGACCGCUAACCGGGCUGCUCUAGCCAAAAUAAACCCUAUUGUCAAGGCAGAAAAACUCGGUAAGAUAUAGAAUUAAGGAGUCGGAUUGAAGGGUCAGGUUCUAGUCUGAUGCUGGUAUUACUUUUCUGUGAAUAUCGUCACGCUAGCUGCUAGCUCACGUUUUGAAGCAUGAUUUUGAGGACAUUUUCUCGUGUAAAAAGCAUAUCACAACAUCACUUUUGGACGGUCCGACUUGUUUGUCUUUGAGUAUAGUACAUGUUGCAAAAACAAGUGAUCGAAUAUAAAUAAAUAUAAUAAGGAAAUAAAUUGCUCAAUAAGUUUACACAGUUUGGACGACAUGAUCUAUUUUACAAAUAGUGCAGUAAAUUUUUUUACUACAAAUCAAGUGAUGCAAUUAUGAUUACAGCAAACUCAAGUCACUCUCGGUGUUUCCUUGCAUCCAAAUCCCACCCAACGCUCUACUGGCUCUUCAACUAUCCACGAAAGCUUCACCCAGUUGUGCAGGCAUUUAUAGCUUAUUGUUUCCUUUACAUAAUUCUGCCUACUUCCGUACAUAAAAUUCAAAUGUUCAAAAACCACUUCCUCUCAUUUUCAUGCUCACAGCCAAACACAGAAAAAAUGAUCGAUUUCCUUGAAAAUGGAUUUCGGACAAGAUCAUUUCUUUCAAUGUAAACUUGUCCACGAAACAAGUGCACUUUCCCUAAUUCGAACUGUUUCCAAUUAAGUCAUUUUCUUGGAUUGGGUUUUUACCUAAUUAGACAUAGACAUAGCUCAGCCCGUGAAAAUGAAGAAGUCAGUUUAUGAUCGCAGCGGAGUUUCAAGCUUUUUUGGUGCCAUAACGAUGCCCCUUCAUUAGCAAAAAGCAUUAAAAGGAUGUUGAGUUUAAUUUAUUUUGCGAAAAAUUAAUAAUGUGAAAACUUUCUUUUUUUUUAUUGUAUCACAAAUGCACAAAUAAAAAAUAUUUAGGUAUGUGACAACAUUUUAUAUUGAUGAGUUAUUUCGAGUAAUAUAAUGAUUAUUUUUAGAAAUGGUUUUUUCGAAUGGUUUGUUUUUUAGCAAAACAAACAAAAUCUUGAAGACUGGCUUUUAAAGGGCGAGUUGGCAUCUACUGAGAAGAAAGUCGCCGAGUAGACAUAUCGAUGUAAGACAAGGGGAGAAAAGGAGGAUACCCGUGGUUUGACUAUUUUAUUUUAUUUUUGUUUUUUUUGGUGGAAAUGGUUUGGCCAUUUAGGAUGCGUUUGGUAACGUUCCUGUUUAAAAAUUGUUUCUGGGAACAGAAAUAGAAAAAAGUGUUUCUAUUCCAGGGAACAAUUUUUGAACAAAAAAAUGCGUUUGGUAAAUCUGUUCCAGAAAUAUAAAAAGAAUAGAAACACGUUUGGUAAAUUUGUAUAAUUUUUUAUUUCUUUUAAUUUUUUAAUAUUUUUAUUUUAUUUUUCUAUUUUCUUUCUUAUUUUUCUUAUUUAUUUUUCCUUUUUUUUCUUUUUUCUUCUUUGGCCGGUCGCGCGGCCUCGACCAUGGCCGGCGACCGGCCUGCGAGGGGCCAAGGAAAAAAGAAAAAAACUACAAAGAAAAGGCAUAAAGGAACCCUUAACUCCAUUUUUAUCAUGAUAAGAACAGACUCUAUGGGGACUCAUAUGUCUUACCCAUUUUUUUUCUGACUAUUGAACAGCAUCAAGGAAUCUAACAGAAACGCACUCAAACGCGUUUCUGUUCCUUUUUUAUUCCCAGGAACAAAAAAACAGAAAUUUCUGUUCCUGGGAUCAGAAAUAGGGUGCAGCCAAACGCACCCUUACUAUUCCUCUUGCGGUUGAAUGAAAAGCUUCAACCUUGCUGGCCCGAUGCGAUGCUUGCAUAAUAUAGCAAUGGAAUACUGUUGUUCUUUCGACCGUAUUAAUGGAUGACGGGCCAAGACAAAAGCCAUCCUUUUGGAUCUUAGUAGCUGCGCAUUUCAUAUAUUUAGAGGUGCGCCAAAGCAUGUCACCCUUUUCAAGAUAUCAGAGAGAGAAAGAGAGAGAUCUUUGGGCUUAUUAUUAAAUGGGUGACAGGCUUAGGAGUUUUAAUACAUAUGUAUAUAUGUAUAUAUGUAUGUUUAUUUACUCGGUAAUGUGUGGGUAAAGUUAGCAAGUUAUCUAUUAAACUAAGAACCUCUCUAUUCGCCCAAAGAUUCCAUUCUUGGCAUCGGUGUUCAAGCAUUGCCUAAUUCAAUCUUUGCUUCCCCUUUAGUGAUGCAAUUUAUUUGACCUCUCGAGUAUGCCUUCCUUACAUGCUAUAGUCAAAAGAGCCGGUAAGUUCAUUUGAAAAUAUAACACGAACCUCUUGACUCUGGACGUUCUAUUGCGGAUCCUUAAUUUCUCUCUCUUUUUUUUUUUUUUAGUUCACUCGCUUGAUGAAUAUCAAUGAUUUUUACCUGCCCGGAUGAUGAAAAAGGAAGCACAACAAUCUGGGCCAUUGCAAUGGGUCAAGCUCCCAAGAGAACUACUCCCAAUAAUCGCACAAAAUGGCAAUCAUUUGACGGCAAGCAUUCAAUAGAGUCUCUUUCAAUCGGUAUAAGACUCAAAAAAAUGUCAGAGGCUACGCCAAAUAAAGAACUUGUUCUUUUGAGCGUUGAACCAUAUCACCCAAAAAUAUCCCCUACUUGAUGUGUACUCCGAUCCGUUUUUUGCCCCCUACCACCAUCCUAGAUACAUGGCAUUUUUCGAAACUUAUCUAAUUCCUCAUCUCAAUGUUCACUAUCCACCUUCGCCAAAUAGAGAUGGGUCCAAUCUACGCAUGAACCAAGUAUUUGUUAGAGAAGGUCCUGCUCCAAUCAUCCGCAACGAUUCAAUCCAUUUUACGUGAGUCAAGAUAAUUAAAAAAAGAAAUUAUAGUUAAAAGCAUGGGAGGCAAAAGCUUUGGACGAGUAGUAGUAGUGUGCGUCCCCACACUCCACCGUAAAAAGCAAAAAUAGGUAGGGGGCAAUUGAUGAGAGUGUGUGCAAGCAAUAAUGAAAUUCUCUCAUGGCUUUCUUCAAUGCAAUAAGUGCUGCAAAAUGUAUAAUUUUCGACGGUGGUAAAACUCUCCUCAUUCUCCAUGCCCCACCACCCGGCACCAGCCCAUGUCCGGUUCGUUCCAGCACAGACAAAAAGCGGGCACUGUAAUCACGAUGGUGAUUACCUUUCGGGACUUGGGGAAUUCCCCCCCAAACAAACUCGCACAAAUACCCAUGACUUGUUCCCAGUGUCACAUGGAUGCCUUUUUAAAUUGAUCGUCAGCUGCAAAAACCCAUUAUAGAUUAAAAAAAAAAAAUCGAAUUUGUGUAAAUGUUCCAAGAGAGACAGUGUGUUGAAAAUGAAGAAUUUCCGUCGUAUUUCAUAAAAAAUCCUUGUUAUUAUAUAAUGGGCAAAUAAUAUUAAAAACUCUAAAUUUUACUCACCGUAAUACUUUUUUUCUUCUUUGCGUCAUCAAAAAUUCUAAACUUGGCCACUAUAUCGACCUUUUUUAUGUAGUGAAAAAACUCAAAUUUAUGCAUGGGUAAUAUAUACGAUCCAUCAAAAUUCAAUCUAAAGCCACAUUGAUAUGAAUUUAGGAUUUUUCAUGAUAAUUAAUUUUUGUAUUUGUUUCAUAACGAGUAAGUUUAGAGAGUGUUGGUGAGAGUAAGUAUAGUUUGGAAUUUUUUAUAAUAUUAAUCUCGAUAAUGAGAAAUCCUAGGGUGCCAUUCCACUCCUCCUUUUGUUCCCCCCUCGGAUUCUCUCUGUUGCCGCUGCUACCCGAAAAGAAGUUGACUCACGAGCGAGGGAAAUCGCAUUCCGCAAGAUACAAAAACCAAAAGUGGAAUGACUUUUACGGAAGAGAUGGUCAGUACAGGGAGCAGGGCUUUUGGGAGCCUACCUAUACUAUACAUUGUCAAUGCGUUGACCACACAUGCUUUCGACGUUCCUCGAGUCGCACGAGUCACGGACCCAGAGACGCGAAAUGUCGUUUCUUUCGUCCGACGUGCGACCGAGAGAGACAAAUGGCGAGAGAACUUUGCUUUGACUCCACUCAUCAAGAACGGCAAUCGUAUGUUUUAGGAUGCCCAUGAAAAUCUAUAAGCCUUCGCUAAUUAAUUCGUGAGAUUUCUUAAAUCGGUUUAGGAAGUUUUGACAUGGGAGCGGCGUUGCAAAGUUUUUGUUGUUCACUUUUGGCAUCGGGAGAGAGAGGGAGAGAGAGAGAGAGUGCAAUUUGAUAGGUCUUUUUCACCGGAAUGUCGCGCCUUUUUUUCUUUUUUCACGACACUUUAGAAAGAAAAGUCAACUUUCAAGAAGAUAAACACAUCGAGUGCCUUUCAGGACUGUACAAAUUAACGUACCGCCUGCCUAAUUUUUGAAACACACGCGAGGCUCGCCUAAUCGACGAUUGUAGUUUACCGAAUUCGCGAAAUCAACAGCCGCAACUCGCCGGGAUCCGCUCGACCCAAGUCCGAACAAAAAAAAAUUUCCGUAUCUUUGUAGGUCCGGCCGAGUCAAUUAUUGCAUUCCCUGUUUAACCCAUCCUUCACGCCAAUUUCCCUACACGAUUUCAGCACGAAAUUUCCCCCCUCAUGAUAAAUGCCCGUGUCCUUUUCCAACGGUGCUUUUGGACACUAAUAAAUGGAAAUCAAUUCCUCCAGAGGAAAAAGAAAAAGGCAAGACCAAUUUUUCAUAAAAUCGGUUCCCAACGCGUCCAUUCGGAGAAAGUAAACGUACGCCGCAAGAUAUAUGAAAAUCAAAUCAUAAAGAGAUGAUUUUUCAGGGGCAUUUAUUUCGUAUAAAAUUUAAGAUUUAGAAAAUAUUUUUCGAAAAAUAAUCAUUUAUAAUGCUUGUAAAAAUAAAGAGUUAACACAAUAAAAAAUCACUCUACCUUAAACCAACUUUUGGGUCACAAAAAAAUCUCAAAUUUGUGUACUAACGACAUAUUUACCUUCCGUUAACUUUGAUAAUUUUUUUUUUAAAUUACCGAGUCUAAUGAUACAUGACAUUAACUUAAUUGAAUGACAAAUAUACAUGGAAAUCUAUAUUAGUUUUGCGUAAAUUUAUCUUAAAUGUAUCGAUUUAAAUGUUAUAUUUCAUUGACUAAUUUUUUUAAGUAAUAUAAUUAAUUAUUUUUCGAAUUUUUUUUCUAAAUUUCUAUUUUCUAUGAAACAGAGGUACCAUUGAUUUGUAUUUUUAUUUGCAGGUUUACUUCCUAAAUAAUAAAUAUUUGUGUACUUUAGUCGCACUAUGUCGUAUUUUAUACAGAAAGUCCUAGCUCAGCGAAUGCCUUGGAAAGGGGCUGACUUUGGCACGUGCGACGUGUCCACAGUUCAACUCAGCAGUCAGCAGUAGUCCCCUCCACCCCGAGUACGAGUUGCCGAAUAGUCGACAAUUUGUUUUCCCCGCGGGAGCAGCGGCGGGACCCAACGAAAUGGGAGUUCCUUCUCCUUCAGACGCCGUGUUUGUUCAGAUUGUGCGAAGCAUCUCCCCCGGUUCAAAUGGUCUUGUCUGAUGCGUCGAAUGUUGUCACGANNNNNNNNNNNNNNNNNNNNNNNNNNNNNNNNNNNNNNNNNNNNNNNNNNNNNNNNNNNNNNNNNNNNNNNNNNNNNNNNNNNNNNNNNNNNNNNNNNNNGCCCCCCCCCCCCCCCCCCCCAUCCCUCCCUCCCUCUUUCCCUUUUUGUCCUCUCUGGCGCUCACGGGACGUCUUUAGAUUCCUCUUCCCAUAUCUAAUCUCAAUCCUAUUUCUUUAUACUUUUUUUACAUAUUUAUUUACGCCAUUUUUCAUCGGGUUUUGAUAAAGAAUUUAUUCCCUUUCUGAAACGCCUGCUUUCUCUUGCCUCCUGCUAAUCUCUGCAAUUUUCCCUUUGGCUCGGGCUUGUCUCUUUCCCAGCACAUGUAGCUUAGCUCACUCGCGUUUUUAACUUUUAUGGCCGCGGCCUGCACCCUAGGUUAUGGAUGGAAUUGACAGCUUUUUUUAUAAUCUUCAGACUGAGAAAUCCAAGAACAGAGAGAGUUUAAUAUUAUGUAAAAUUUUAAAUUAAUAUAUAUAUAUAAUUUAUCCUGCAAUAAUUUCUUCACAGUAAAAAAUCAUAAAUCGAUAUAUCCAUCAUAAAUUUAUCAUAAUUUAAUUUUUUGAUCACUAAAAAUCCAAAACACGUGCAUUUGUGAUAAAUUUAUCAUCCAUAAGUUUUAGUGGAUUAAGAAGUACAUGGAGAGUUAAAAUCCUAAAUUAGUAUACUUAUUAGUUAUCAUAUGUUAUCAAAUUUAGCAAUUUGAUUGUAAAAUUUAACAGGAACAAAUUGAGGACAAAUUUAUCACGAAUAUACUGAUUUGUGGGGUUUUUUUUUUCAUAAUAUUAACAAAAAAAAUAACAAAAUGCAGGAAUUUUCCAAAAAGUUUUAGUAUAAGAUUGAUCGUCAUCUCAUCGGUAGCUCAUGUCAAACACAAUUCCAAAUCAACGGCAAAGUAUCUUUUCCAUGCUAUCCCCACAGGUCAUUGUCUCGGGGGGGCUUCAACCACAUAGCCGAUGCGAGUUCGAAUCUUCCACAUGGCCGCGGACCGACUGUGCCCGAGCACGGUGGACGGCGGCUAAUCUCCCGCUCCUGCUACAAAAGAGGGGUUUCCAAAAUCUGUAAGGUGGCAUUGACUAUCUGGGCUUUGGAUUCGUUUCUUGUCUAGAGCGGAAUUGACCUCAUAAAAGCGGCCAUGCAAGGAGGAACAAAGCAUGAUUUGGGCAUGCCAUUGCUAGUGCUAAGAAAAAACCAAAAGGGGGACUGUCCCGAUGCAUGAUGAGUGGGGGAGGACAAUGAUUUGAAUGCGAGAAAAAAAUAAAAAGGAAGGAGGAAAUACGACCGAAUUUCAUCCUGUUUCUAACAACCACACUAUCGGAGACGGCUGGCACAAUCAAUAAAAGUGUCCAUCAAAAAAGCUCGUCGUAGGCUAUGGUACAAAAACUAAUUACAUUGGAUGGGGAUCGAUUCUCUCUCUCUCUCUCUUUCUAGGCGAGGCCAGCACAUGUUCGAAUGAAAGCCUGGGAAGAUGUACCGAGGUGGUUUGUGAUUUGAUGUCGAGUUCAUUAGUCCAAUACCUAAUUGCCGAAACAAAAGAAUAAUUAACAAAGAAGAAUUUGAAUUUAGAAAAUUGAAAAGCGGUGAAGAUAGUACCAUACUCGAAUCAUAUCCAUACAAAAUGACACGAAUUCUGCUCUCUUUUUUUCUCUAAUCAUAGCUUACUCUCUGUCAAAGUGAUUCUCCCUACUUUUCAUAGAAAUUUGAAAACGCCUAUUUUCUUUGAUACCUCGUCACGUGAAUAGGAGAAGAAUAGAGAUGCAAGUAAAUUUAACUAUGAAUGCUCAUACAACAAAUAAAAAUGGCUAACAAUAAGCACUUGGCCUUCUUCUUCCUGAAAUAGUAAUCCCGGAAAAUUUUCAAAUUAUUGUAAUAUAUAUUUGUUAAAUCGAAUCCGAACUAAUCAUUGAUGAUGGUAAUCUCACUUCAAUCCCGUCAUGGUUGAAAUUAAACUUAGUUUAUAAAUAUGGCUAUUAAGUCCACGGAAUACUUAUAUGUCAAAAGGCUGUAUGACUUUAUGCACAACUUUCUCUUUCGUAAAUUUUUAUCUUUCUUGCUUUUCUUUUUGCGUUUCUUCGAGAGAAGGUACUCGAUUGCAACUUUUGACAUGCAGACGUUCUUGAAAAAGAUCGCAGCUUGCGACACAAGCUGCGAUCUUUCUGCAUCAUUUCGUCCUCCUCCGGGUCACACUCUCUCCCACUCACCUCCCCACACAUCCCUUCUCUCCUCCUCUUCUUGCCUCUUCUUCUUCUUCUUCUUCUUCUUCAUCGGACACGACAAAGAUCGUCACUUUGGAAGCGAAAUUAAGAAGGGUCAGUUCAGCUGAUCAUAUAUUUCUAAGUAAGAGAAUCAAGCACCAAACUUUUGACUCUCUCAGAGCUGCCUCCAAUGGCCGCAGCCUGCACACUCCCGCUCUUCCUCUCCGUGGCUCUGCACGUCUUCAUGCUCUGCUCGGCCUCCUCGGAAGCCGACACUCUCCUCUCCUUCAAGUCCUCCAUCGAAGACCCGAACCACUCUCUGUCCACCUGGUCUUCCAAGUCCUCUUCCUCUUCCUCCCCCGCUCACUACUGUAACUGGACCGGCGUUUCUUGCUCCGCUAACCCGCCAUUCCACGUCACCGCGCUCAACCUUCAAGCCAUGAACCUGUCCGGUGAAAUCUCGGCUUCGGUAUGCGAGCUUCGCUAUCUGUCCUACCUCAACCUUGCUGACAACGUCUUCAACCAGGCCAUUCCUCUGGAGCUCUCUCAGUGCACUUCCCUGGACACUCUGAACCUCAGCAACAACCUCAUCUGGGGCCCCAUCCCUGACCAGAUUGCUGGGUUCAGUAACUUGAAGGUUCUUGAUUUGAGCAGGAACCACAUCGAGGGAAAAAUCCCAGAAAGCAUCGGUGCUCUCAAGGACCUUCAGGUUCUCAACUUGGGGAACAACUUGCUCUCAGGUAACGUGCCUCCUGUUCUUGGGAACUUCACGAAGCUUGUUGAUCUUGAUUUGUCUGAGAAUGCGUAUUUGGUGAGUGAGAUUCAUGACGAUUUCGGGAAGCUCGUGAGGCUGGAGCAACUUUUGCUUCAAAGGUCUGGCUUUUAUGGUGGGAUACCAGAUUCCUUUGCGGGGUUACAGAGUUUGUCUGUUUUGGACCUUUCUCAGAAUAAUCUCACUGGUGGGAUUUCUCAGACAGUUGUGGCUUCACUCAAGAACUUGGUUUCUUUUGAUGUCUCACAGAAUAGGCUUACGGGGCCAUUUCCUGAUGGUAUCUGCGGCGCGAAAGGUCUUACAGAACUCAGUCUCCAUACAAAUUUGCUUAAUGGGUCGGUGCUUGAGUCUAUCCACGAGUGCUUCAAUCUAGAGAAGUUCCAAAUUCAGAACAAUGAUUUUUCUGGUGAUUUUCCUAGUGGGUUAUGGUCACUGCCUAAGAUUAAAGUGGUAAGGGCUGAAAACAAUAGGUUUUCUGGAGAUAUACCAGAUUCGGUGUCAAAGGCUACACAGUUGGAACAAGUUCAGAUUGAUAACAACAGCUUCACUGGUAAAAUUCCUCAGGGUCUUGGUCUGGUCAAGAGCUUAUACAGAUUCUCCGGGUCUUUAAAUAAAUUCCAUGGCGAAAUCCCUCCAAAUUUUUGCGAUUCGCCUGUUAUGAGCAUAUUAAAUCUUUCGCACAACGCUCUUUCUGGUAAAAUCCCAGAGCUGACGAAAUGCAGGAGGCUCGUUUCAUUGGCAUUGGCAGACAACAGUCUGACCGGGGAAAUCCCCACAUCGCUCGCAGAUCUAUCGGUAUUAACUUACCUCGACCUUUCGGCUAACAAUCUCACUGGACCAAUUCCACAACAGUUUCAAAACUUGAAGCUUGCUCUCCUGAAUGUGUCCUUCAACCAGCUCUCUGGGAGGGUUCCGUAUGCUCUAAUUUCAGGUCUUCCUGCUUCGUUUCUCCAAGGAAAUCCUGGGCUUUGUGGGCCGGGAUUAUCGACACCAUGUUUGGAUGACCAACCGAGCCACCGCAAGACGAGGAUUACGACAUUGACAUAUGCCCUGAUUUCUGUGGCUUUGGGGGUUGGGGUGUUAAUUGUAGCUGCUGGUUUCUUCGUGUAUCACAAGUCAUCAAAGCAAAAACAGCAAACGGGCAUUUGGCGUUCGGUUUUCUUUUAUCCUCUGAGAGUCACCGAGCAGGAUUUGAUCAUGGGAAUGGAUGAGAAAACUGCUGCCGGAGCUGGUGGAGCUUUCGGAAGAGUGUAUGUACUAAGUCUACCUAGUGGCGAACUAAUUGCAGUGAAAAGGUUGGUUAAUUUUGGAAUCCACUCUUCUAAAGCGCUGAAGUCUGAGAUCAAGAUAUUAGCUAAAACUAGGCACAAAAGCAUUGCUAAAAUUCUGGGUUUCUUCCACUCUGAUGAGUCGAUCUUUGUAAUCUAUGAAUUUGUGCCUGGUGGUAGCUUGGGGGACUUACUUUUCAGGUCAGACUUUCAGCUUCAGUGGAGCUUUAGAUUCCGGAUUGCCAUUGGAGUUGCGCAAGGACUGGCAUACCUGCACAAGGAUUACGUUCCUCAUUUACUUCAUAGGAAUGUCAAGUCGAGUAAUAUUCUUCUGGACGCUGAAUUUAACCCCAAGCUCACUGAUUUUGCUCUUGACCGAGUUGUUGGCGAAGCAGCAUUUCAGACGACACUCGUUUCAGAAUUAGCUUCCUCUUGUUAUAAUGCACCAGGUAACAAGACUUCCGUUUAUAUGUUCACCUCAUUCUUUUAAACAAUUGUAUGCUUCAUUAGCUCAAGCCAAACAAGUAGCAGUCCUGAGUUAGGCAUGCCUUUUUUGGAUUCCAGAACUGAUUGAUAUCUCCGUGGUCUUCAUGAUUAAAAUCUCAUCGCGUUUGUUGUUGCAUCCAUAUAUCUUCAUUUAACAGAACAUAUAUGCCUAUUUAUAUGGUUCCAGAAGAUCUCAAAUCGCUCAACUCAUUUCGUUCUUGGAAUGCAGAAUGUGGAUACAGCAAGAAAGCUACUGAGCAAAUGGACGUUUACAGCUUUGGUGUUGUGUUGUUGGAGCUAGUGACUGGCCGACAAGCAGAGCAAAAGGAGCUGGCCGAGUCUGUUGAUAUCGUGAAGUGGGUUCGACGGAAAAUCAACCUCACAAACGGGGCUCUACAGGUUCUUGACCCCAAGAUAUCAAGCUCCUCCCAAAAGGAAAUGCUGGGAGCACUGGAGAUCGCUCUGCGCUGCACAUCUGUGGCACCGGAGAAACGACCAUCAAUGACUGAAGUCAUCAGAAAUCUUCAGUUACACGGUUCUAAGGGUAGCUCUCCGAGUUUGGAGUUCUCUGCCUCAGAGAACCCAAUGUCAGUGUGAACGUUAAAGCCAAAAGUCACUGCAUGUAAAUUCGACUUUUUUCAGCAUGUCUCUCUUUUUUAUUUUUGAUGGUCUGGAAAAGAACGCCUGAGAACUUUCUCUCAGAUGAAGAAUGGCAUCUUCAUUUUCGUGAAUGCAAACACGUGGAUACUUGACAUGAUUAACAAGUGUAGAGCGAACCAACGUCUUCCAUCUCAUGAGGAUGCGGAGGAAACUGAAAUUCGCUGUGGAGCAAAUGUUGACGUCGCGAUUGUGGUAACAUGAAGCGUUGGCAAGAUGGAGGGAUAGUUCUACAAGGCUUGAACUAAUCAUCUGAUUAAUGAUCAGUAUCUAUCACACUUGAUCUAAUUGUUGUAAAGGCCGCAGUUACUUCUUCAGUAGUUCAUCCUUGGAAUCAAAAUCUAUUUUGCACAGAUGUAAAGUUCUCCUCGAUCACAGCAAGUCCGACUCUUGCGAAGCAGCCUUCUCAAUUUUCACAGCUGUGUUUUUUUCAACGGAGAUUAUAGGGCUUGUCAUCCAUAUGCAUCGAACAUUAUUACAAGUCACGAUCGAUAGAAAUAAGCAGAAUUAGAUGUCUCAUAUCAUGUUUCACUCAAAAUAUAACCAUUCAGGAAGAGAUUUCUUCACAAGAAUAAACUGUAGAAUAGCGAAUAGCAAUCUCAUGCAAUUUAUGCCGGUUGACUUUAUUUCAGCUGUACAACUUCUUUUUGAAGCAAGGAUACCUUGGAUAGCAAAUGGAAACAGACAAACAAAAUGAAAGAAAUCUUGAACUGUGUAAAACUCACAAGUUGCGGCAAAUAUACAAGAAAUCUGUUGUAUCAGAUAGCUCAUGAAAAGCUUUCACUUUUCAUCUCCUCCACUCUCUACGUUUUCAUGGAUAUAAAACUUUAUCUUAUGCACCUUUACAUUUGACAGGGAAUCGGAAUAUACAUGAACCCUAGGUCACUCGGACCAGACCUCUCGAAGGAGUUCAUAUCUUGCGUUCAUCAAAGAGUAACCAGGACGCUCCACUAGUUUCCCAUUUCCAUUUCCAUUACUAACGGUAGUCGGAGAUGAAUACAUAUUAUCCAUUAUAGACACGAGAGGAGAUUCCAGGUCUUCAAGUUCUUCGUCGCUUGUGUACCCUUUUCUCUGCACUGCAGACACGUUCCUUGACAACUGAAAACGGACUCCUGCCUCUGCAACUUUCUCUGCCACAUCAAGAGAGGAAGGCGGGCAGUACGUAACAGGAGCAGCUGUAUAAGGAAAGUUUCUCACAGUUUCUCCAGAAAUUCGCCGCUCCACAAUACUCUGUACAAGUAUAGACCCAUAAAGAACAAUGUCAGCAGCAGGAAUCUUGCCAUUGUUACAAAAAAAACUCAACUGUUUGGCAAAAUUGUCAAAAUAAAGGUAACUAAUUAAAGAAUUGUCAGUAACUUGGACCUAGGCUUCUUAUGCAGGAAUUUUAUAAAUAAAUCAGACUUGCAAUGCAGAAUAUAUAAAUCGGCAUAUACGUGGUGAUAAUUUAUUAGCAAUGCUAAUUGCUAGGUACAGAGAAAUUUACCGGUACUGGUUUACUAAGUAAUAUGGAAAGUUAGUAUUGGGUUCUCAUACAAACCAACGUCUUAAUAGUUUGGUCUCACCUGUUUCAAAAUUCAAUUAAAACUUGCCACGUCACUGAGUAAUUUUUUUACUACCUUUAACAUUUUUCAUAAAUAAUACAGCAAUUGGUCCCAUGUGCCUGGCAUCCUUUUACAUUUCAGAGGGACAAUGAGGAAAGGGAAAAGCAUGUGAUUGGUCAUUGGAAACCUACCAUAACAAAUGGAUAGUUCUCCUCUCAUAGAAUAUUUUUAUGCGAAGAGAUCUUACAGGUAGCAAUUAAGUGCAGCUUAUGCUAGAGACGUAACUAGAGCAGUUCAAAAUGAAAGUAAAACAUACUUCGGCAUUCAGUGCCUCCAAUACAGCUCCUGGAACAGAAUCUGGACAAAACUCAUCUGGAGUAAAGUUGCAGAGCACCCGUUUGACCAGAGCUAGACUAAUCGUCGGACACACCUGGCAAAAUUAGGAAGUUAAGAUAUGCACAGACAGGAUUCAUCAAAUCUGAAAGUGCCAUAUCAAAAGUUCUUACCUCCUUUCUGAUUGAUCGAUCUAAAAUCAAGUCUUUUGGGAGCAUUAGAAGUUCACUCAGCUCAUUAAGAAGAAGGAAGGACUUAAGUUCACUAUCACCACCCUGCUGAAAUUCCUCCUUGUUAUUGUGCUGAUCCUCUUCAGCAGGGUUGUCAUUAUCCAUGCCAAACAUGUCACUUAGCCAUCUAGACCAAUUGCCAACCUGCAGGACCUUGUGUUCAGAAUUGGCAUCUAAAGCCUUUGAUUCCAUGCAAUGGCAUUUUAGAAGACACAAGAACUAUACGGUGUCACCAUGACAAAGAACAAAGCCAAAAGAUUGUACCAAAAAGACAUCCAUCACAAUUUGAUGAUGUUCCUCAAAUCUCAUAGGGAAAAAAAUCAUCAGAUUGUUUUAAGCAUAAACAAUUUCAAAAGCUGUAAUCAUAUUCAGCUGUCCGAAAUUGAGUAAUUAUGAUAUUACAGAAAAGGGAAGAUCAUGCUUGGACAUAAGUAUAAGCAUGCUCUUUACGUUGGCGUUGAUGAUGAUGCAAUCUGGAAUCAUUUCAUGCAUGGGUGAGAAGUCCUUGCCAAAUAAAGUGGCUAAAAUACUUACUGAAUUUUUAAGCUGAGCUCCAGAUCCGAAACUCAAGUGUCCUGCUGGUAUAGGCAGUACCCUGGAAUCGACAAUUGGAUCAGAGACUGGAUCUGUUGGUAUCUCAAAAGCUGAUUCGCGAAGAAUGGCAUUGAACAUUGCCACAUCUAAUCUGGCAACACAUUGUUCCAUUACCUGACAAAAGAACAACAGUUAAAUCGACUCAGAAGCAAAGGGAAGAAACUUUAACAGCCUUCAGUUAAAGCCCACAUAAAAAAGUGAAUUUAUAGGUCAAUAUCAAACAGCUUAGAAACUUGUCAACUAAAGCCUACCAUCUUUGCCAAUACAGGCAAGCAACCACACUCAUGUCUUGCUGCUCUAACAGGACACAUCUGUCGAAAAGCGUCUUGAAAAGCAUUUGUCCACAAGUUAAUAGAGAAAUUCCCCUGCUGCUGAUCACCCAAUGCUGGUCCCAGCAACUUCCCCGCGCUUUUGCUGGAAAAUGAAUCCUGAACGGGUGUUUGCAUGUGUGGAGUGAAAGCCUGCAUGGAAGACAACGGCCAAAAUAGAAUUUAACAUAUCAGAAACUCUGCCACUUAUGCAAAUAUCAUGAGCAGACUGGAUAACAGACAACGAUUGGAAAUGGAUAAAUAGAUGGUUUGACCUAUAUGACUAGCAAUUUUUAUCCAACAUAGUAAUGACACACUAGCUCAAAAUCAGUCUAUCAACUCCCUGGCUGAAAAUGGAAGUUUAUUGGCUAUCCUGGCAAUCUUACUACACCAUUAUUUCAGUUUUAAAAAAGGACAGUCUAUCCAGGUCAUACAUACCUGCCACCAAAUGGACUCAACUAUCCGGGAGAAAAUCCACAUCUCAACUUUCUCUAAAGCACCCGUGAAGGUUCCUGUUUCCUGCCAGUCCUCUAGAAACUGCAUAGAGCCAGUUGUUUGCUUGAAGUUAGAAUUGCCCUUCCAUUUCAACGUCAUAGACUUGGCUUCACUUUUCUUGUCACUCCCAUUUGACUCAGCAAACCUUGUAAAAGGGCUUGAGUUAUGUGAACUGCCAAAUGCUUGAGAAACGAUUUCCCUCAGCACAACGGCGUUGGACAACCAGAAGGUUAACCUUAAGAGACACAAAGAAGGAGGAAGAUUAAUAAGCUAAUUAUAGCAAGAGAAACUUUUGAUUUCCUUCAGUCUAAACCAUAAAAUUUUUGUACCUUGGGACAUCAUUACUGCAGGACUUUGCAAUCAAGACAAGCCCUGAGACGAUGUUUUUAGCUAUAGUGGCCCGCUUGUCUUGAGUCCAAUGCUUACAAGCAUGAAUGUAGAGUCUAGAAAGACGUCGAGCAGGCGUGUGAACUUUAUGUGCAGAACUCCCAUGCUCGGGUGCCACAGAAUAGAGUGAGAUUUCGAGGGCAGCAGCUUCUCUCAAUUCCUCUUCAAGUUUCUCAAUUCUCAUCUCCAUUUCUUCGAUCUUUUGUUCCAAAGCAGCCUGAUCCUUCCGCUCAUUUUCUCCAGCAUCAGAAGCAUCACCAUCACUUCCAACACUUUGAGUGACAUUUGAGGCUUCAUCUAAUAUAUCAACUUCCUUGAUCUCUUCAGUACUUUUGUCAUCUGCUCCUUCAGAAGAUUCUGAUGAAGGUUUAGUAGGAAAAUCUCUAUGCCCAGGGUCACCGUUACAUAAACUUUUGGUAAAAACUCCAGAAGUCUCCUUCCUGGACAUUGUAGAUUUCCCAUUGGUACUCUGCAAUGCUUUGGACUGUGAUUUAUUGUUUUCAUGGUCAAUUUUCGUUCUUGAUUCAUGAGGUGAGCUCUCUGUGGUGCUUGUCUUGUUUUUUCUUUUGUCGACUUUCCAUGAAGAUCUUUCCUCCUCAGUGGUCACAGAAUCUCCUUGAGAUGAUACAGAAUCUUUAACAGUCUCAGCGUCUGAUCCUUCUUCCUUUCCCUGGCAAGAUUCCUUCUCCAGAUCACUAGAAUGGUCAUCCGAGGUUUCAUCCUUGUUUUGUUCAUCAGGCAACACUGGAAUUUGUGCAUUACCAUUUGCAUCCUCAAUCCUGCUGGCAUCGUCUACAUAGUGUAUAACCACGUUUUCAUAAACUUCAGCAGGCUCAGGACCUGCCCUGGAAUCACCUGGUCUACCAGUUGAAGCUUUAGAGUCUGUUCGUCUGGCAUUCGAACCCUUCACGCCAUUCUCCUGACGUGGCUUUUGGUUUUUCUUAUCAUUUCUUUCGGAGCGCUUUUUUUGACUGCUAUUUGGAGUUCGUUUCUUAUUGCUUUCCAUUUCUAGCUUUAUCCUCCCAACUGCAACACAAAUAUAACCAACAGAAAAUGCAAUGUGAAGCUUACAAAAGACUUACAGGCAUGCCAAGGACUGGACUUGUGAAGAAUUGUAAACCACUUACCCCACCCUAAUCAAUCAUCAGAGACUUCUCCAAGCCAAACAAGCCAGGAGCACCUCCUCGGGCUCUUGCUUUGGCUAUCUGAAUUUAGCAAUAAAAAGGUAAUCAACAAGCAGAUGAAAAGAAUACGGAACCGUUUAUGAGUCCCAUCAUACAAGAUGCCGCAACGAUGUCCAAAUAACAUAAUACACAAACAUGUCUAAGAGAUAAAUUGUCAACGCUAUCUUUUGCUAAAAGCUUCUCGCAAACGGCACAAGCGAGACUUUUUGGAAUCAGGACAAAAAUUUUGCUCAUAAGCAGGUAAAAAGUGUAACCAGGAAAGGAAUAUGACAUCUUCUCUUCAAAUAAAGUCGCAAAAUCAUAAAAUUUCACAUAGCUCCCCAGAUUAAGUAAAGUGCAUAAAGAGAUGGAGCUCACUAGACUAAGGGGGGAAACAGGGAACUAGCUAACACCACUUGGUACUUCCCCAGCUUUCAGCAAAACCACUAAAACCAAUACAAAAUCCCUCCAUCAACGAACCACAUCAAAAUGAGAUUUGGAUCUUGGAUAGCAGUCUAAGCACAAUUGGGAUCUUGUAAUUACACUCGGAUGUCUUGUGUAUGUGAAGUAAACGAAUUCUCGUAUACAAUAAGAGGCAGCGACGACUGUUUAGUGCCAGUUCAGCAAACAACCCCAACGGGGCAGGACCACAAGAAUUGCACUUGCAGUAAUUGCGUCCCUCCGAAAAAUAAAUAAUUCAGGGAAAUCAUCUGUGACGAUGGACCCACUGACCAAUCAAACCCCGAGGCGAGGUUCCCCUAUUCAAUGCCCCAUUAAUCGGCAGUGAAAAGCAUCAAAUUAGUCGUACGUGAACAUCAAAGACUGCACAACUGGUCCAAUCGUUUGAUGAAGCAAUCUCUGAUCUUGACCAGCGGAAAAACAUACGGUUCCGCUUUUACUUCGUGCGACGCAAUGCAACUCUGAAUUAGUCAUUUCGCCCCCCCCAAAAAAGAAAAAAAGAAGAAAAAAGAAGAAAAGGAAAAGAAGUUGAAGGAUCCGAUGAUAGCAAACAGAGAACUCUAAUCUAAACCGGAAAGCUCGGUGCGAUUUCGGAAUGAACCGCUCCUCGCAUCCGCAGAAUUACGGAGACCUAUAAUUCUGGCGAUCGUAAGUACUCAGAAGCAAAGUCAUGAGACGACACAAUCGCCGCAAGCGUUCCGCACUCAACGGUCGAGUAACAGUCCAGCCGAAGUCCGAUCCGCUAAAACUCCACCGACAACCCAGCAGUGUGACAAUCCAAAUGUCUAUACAGACCGUUAAAAAUAAAAAAUAAAAAAACACCGCGAGAGAACGAAAGAAUCACGCAAACACCGAACUUCAACGCAGGAAAUCACGGGGAGAACCGAGCGGAACCGCGAACCGGACCUCCAAAUCCGCCAGAAACAGAGCACGACAAAAACCAAAACGGGAGAGAGCCAGAAUGCGCGAGCGCAAACGGUAAAUCCAGUACGCGAACGACCGAAAAUAAAAAAACAAAAACAAAAAAGGCCGGACACGAACCGUCGAAGACGGCGUAAAGAACGGAAGAAGAAGAAGAAGAAGAAGAAGAAGAAGAAGAAGAAGAAGAAGAAGGACAAGAAGAAGAUGUACUGAACUGACCAGGACCAAAAGGGCGCUUCCUCCUUCCGAGAUCUCUCGAACCAGGAGACAAUGGCUGGCCGCCUCGGGAUCGCCAGGGGGAGUAAGAAGAAGAAGAAGAAGGAGAAGAAGAAGGAGACGACGAUGGUGGUGCUGCCUUAUGUCCCUCGUGCUCCGAGAGCGACGGCUUGAAUGGGGACGGCGCUUCUCUUUCCCGACAGUUACUUUCACGGAGAAAGAAAAGACAGCGUGACGUGAGAGAGGAAAAUGAGGGGGGGCCGUAGCGGUGGAGUCAGUCAGUGCGGGAAGAUUUCGCGUUUUAAAAAAAGCAAAGGCAGGGAGUCUUUUUUUUCUUUUCUUUUUUCCUUCCUUAUAUUAUUAUUACGUGGAGGUUUCAUUUAAUUAGUGAUAAAUUAAAUUUAGGGGAAAAGAUGGGGAUGCCUUUUUUGGCUUUAUUUUUUUCGAUAUUUCUCUUUUGUCUGGGAACGGUGACAGGGAGGAGGGCUGUCGGUGAGGGGGAGGUGACCGGGUAUCGCCGGUCGCGGGGACGCGUCGUGGUCAAGCUUUUCCGGUCCACCUAAACCGGCGUCACCGUCCAGGCUUCUCCGGUCGCCAGAGGGGGUCGCUGUCCGUAACCGUCGCAAUUGAGGGAGACCGUUCCCGAUGGAAACGGGACGGCUUUCCUCGCAUUCUUUUCUACCCCCUUAAAAUACUCAAAAACAAAGUCAAUUUUCAAGUUCAACCGCGUUCUUACCCCCCGAUAGCAGGUUCUCCAUUUGUGACAAUGACGUGUGGCGUAUUUCGUUGGGAAAAAAAAAAAAUUAGAUACGCCCACGUUCUCAAAUGAGAUGACACGCCACGCUUGGAAUAGCAUUUGAUCGGUUACAUCAUAUUGUCACAAAUUAUUACUCCUUAUUUGAGGCGCAUCAAAGGCCUUUUUUUUUGCUAGGUAAUCCGCUCUCAAUCACAUAUAUUUCGUCACAAAUUUCCAUAUAAAGUGUCGAAACAUAUAGAAAUAAAAUAUUUUCUUUUAAUUGAUGAUUGAGAUAUUGUUAUUCUGUGAUCCAAUGCUAUCGACCCCAAGGCAGGCACCGGUCACUUGAAAUGUUGUUAUUCUUAAACAUUUACUUAGCAAUUUGCGUAUCAAGACAAAGAUUAUUCGUUAUCAAGAAUUCAAUGCUAUUGAUUUCCCGUACGCCGAAUCACAUGCAGCCGCAAUCGAGGUUGAGGUAGGACGACAUGGGGUAGGGAUUUGAGACUCGAAUUGGUAGAAGAGCAAAAAGAUUUAAAAGCAAAAUAAAAUAAACGAACAAUUUAAGAAAAGGAGGAGGAGAAAAUGGAGUGAAAUUUGGCAUGAGAAUUUCGCGAUGGGGACGCAAGGGGGAGAUGUGACGUGCCAUCUUGCUGUGCUGUGUUUUUUCAACUCCGGAUGAGGAAUCCUAUUGUCAUUGGCAACAAUAAUUCAGCACCAAGCCAAAAUGCCCCCCUACUGAUUAACCGGUCGGUGCUCGAACCGGCCGGUCCGUUCUCUAAUUUGCAGGCCGUACACAGAAUUGAUGGCCUCUGCAUCUCAGCAACCACCGCGUCGUACCUCGUCGAAUUAUGUUAGGUUGGGCCCUGUCGUUCGCCCUCCACUCGCCAUACCAUGCAUCCAUGUCAAAAAAUAACGACGGACCGACCGGGGAUGUCGCUCCUCCCUAGCCUCUCGGUACUUAGUGCAAUGUUCAUAAAACAUUUACUAUAAUUGAUGAAAUUGCAUGUUCAUGUGUAUCGCCCAUCUUGAAACUAGGUUAGCAUCGCAAUCACUCUGUAUCUAUGUGCAUUCGCCAAAUAUAAAAUCACUUGAUACUUGUUAGAAAUGGAUAAUGUUUACAUGGAUAAUUAUUAUCAGGUCCACUGUCGAUAGUGAUUCCUUUUAUACAAUCAUUAAUAGUCACACGGGCAUGGACCGACUAUACUCAUGUAGAUGGGUUUUUUCCGUGUGUCGAUGAAUUCAUCUGCACGGUCAAACACCACUGGCUGGUUAGCAAUCAGAGGUUGCCGAGGACAAAUGACUCUUGAGCUAGUUGCUGUCCUUUCUGUAUCGCAUGAAACCCUCGCUCAGGCUAGUCACGGGCUUACAGCUAAUAUGGUUUAAUGGCAAAAUCAAUGGAUUUGGUACGAUCGGAUUGCUCAGAAGUUUCCCCAAGCAUUCACCCCGUUUGACUACUUCUCACGUACAAACCGUUGACCAAUAAAUUUCGAUGGACAGUGGAGGACAGCUCACGCUAGGGAGCAUAUCUCCACUCGAAAACAAAUCGCAAGAUACCUUUCAAAUUAUUAAUUAAUAGCGUCAUCCAUCAGUUUAGUAAGUGUACUAGAUCCGCGCCACUGAGGGCUGGUGUCGGAGCGGUGACUCUCGGUUCGAUUAGUUUAUGUUUUUUCGACCGUGGUGUGCUGUAGGAGUCGGUCCGAUUAUACGAGGGAGACACCGUGAUGGAUCGAUCAUGAAAAACUUUCAAUCAUUCGAUUACGCUGUUGGAGUCUCGGCGUACAUCCGAAUCCAUCUUCCUCGAAUCAUGACGACAUGUGAAGUGAAAUCACGACGCGAAACUUUAAAACUAAGGAACAUGGAGACAGGUUCUUCCUCCGGGCUAUCUCCAUCACGUGCGUGAGCUGGAAAUGGCGUGAUCGGGACUCGUCCGGAAAAGCCCAGAUAAAGAAAUGGGCAGGAGGAGGUGGUGGAAAAAGCGUAGUCCUUUUGCGCCCGCAGACCGUCCGCGCGCGCGCGCGCGAAUCGGACGAUCGAUCUUGCCGACUUCUCUAAGGAAUCUAAAGGGAUUAGAAAAGGAGGAGAAACCCACGAAAUGGAAAGUGCACCGUCCAAAGCCGGACGGGACUCGCCGCACCGACAGCGACGACCGCCGUUCAGCUGCGCCCCUCGUGUUACUGUCAUUUAUGGAGACGCUGACUGACGAUGAUGAUGACGACCUUUGGGCAUCUUGAUUCGUUGCUGUUCCUCGCUGAAGAUGAAUGAUAUGCCCCUUUCGGUCAGCUUUCGCAAACCCUAGAGAGAUGGAGAUGUCGCACCGCACGCUCCAUUAUUGUGGACCUCUCUUUCCUCGGCAUAUUUUGCUUUUUAGCGUCCGUUCUAAUUAUUAGCAUUGAAAACAUACGAUCUCGCCACAUAGAAACUAUUUUCCUUAUUUUCUCACGUUUAUUUUUGAGUCGGCAGAAAAUAUUUUUCUUAUCAAUAGAAAUCAAUAGAAAAUCUGCUCCUAAAUUCAUUAUGAAAAUGAUUUCGUUUUUUAAAAAUUGAAAAUCAAAUUUCAAAACAUGUUUAAGUCCUGAAACUCUAUAUUGAAGCACCAAAACCCCAAUGCUGAAUCAUGAGUCCUUGGCGUCCAGGAUUAGAUCUCUGGUGCCUGGGCUAGUGGAUUCAUCAAGGCAUGGCACUUGAUGUUAGUGCAUGAAUUCCUAGCCGCACUUUUGUCCAUCAAGGACAAGCCCGAAGCCUCAGCAUCCCGACUCAGGACCACAAAGGCCGAGUGCGAAAUCUCAGUAUAUGAGCUCGAAUCCCCAACACCAUGGCUCGGGUCUAAAAUAAGAUUUUUUUUUAUACCAAACGAUGAAAAAUAUUUUCUAAUUCAUUUUCAAGUUUCUAUCAAAUAUUAGAAAAUAUUAUCAUUUCCUAAAAAAUGACUUCCUGAUUUUAUUCUUUUUAAAAUGUCACAUUUUUCACAAGAACAACGAAGCCUAGAUGUCUUUUCGUUUCUCACAUUUUAAGUAGUUCUUAAACAAAAUUAACAUCAAUAAAUUAAGUCUUUCUUCGUGCAAGAAAAAAUAUACAAUUCUAUUGUUCUCUCCUUUUGUUUUUGUUUUGUCUUUUGCUUUUAAGGAAAGUAGGAUAUACUCACCGUCGAAGAAGGAUUCGAAUCAUCUGGCGGUGAGGGAGGGCCCUAGCGAAACAGGACAGUGUGCGGUAGGCGGGAUGGCAAUCUUAAAUUCGUGAUUGGGUUAUGUCAUUCUCGUGCCCACAAUAAGACAUGACCAUCACAAUAAUAUUUUCUAUCAAAGUUUUGUUCAUUGUAUUCUUGGCUGGGUGAUUGCUAGCUGUUGAUUGUUUGUCACCAAAUGAAACACGUAUGUAGAGAUCUAGAUUGGUAGGGCAAUUUCCACGUCGGCGUCACCACCAACUCCAACUUCGAAUAUUUUUAUACGGCCGGUAUAGUGGUAACAUCGCAUGACGUUAUUUUUCUUCCUAUGGUCAAAACUUUACAAAGUUUUCAGCGAAGAGUAGAAUGGGGAAUUGAGCUCUUUAGGUGGAGAUUGCGACAAGUGAAGUUCUUUAACCUAAUCGUGUAUUCAAAUAUAAAUCUCGCACUUCAACCUAAUGGAGAGAAUGUUACGGUCUCUAUUUUGGUGGGUGAUGAUGUUGCCGUUUUAUAUAAGUCUUAAAUAGAGAGCAAACUACUUGACUCGAUUAAUCUAAAAAUGCUUAUCCACCCCUGACUAUUAUGAAAGGAUUCAUCACACGAGAAUAGCUAUCAUGGCUCGUGUCGAAACCCUUGAGAAUCGGAGACCUUGUGAGCCGUGGCUCAAGGACACCUCUCUUGUAUUGUGAGAAUGAGGGUGAGAAAUUUGAACCUUCCUCCCCUUAUGAGAUAAAUAGGAUAUCUUUGUGACUUGUAAAUUAUGGAUAUACAUUUGGAGAUUGGAGUUUGAUAAUGAUAAAUGACUUGAUUUUGUAGCAGCUCGGGUGAUUAGAGCGAAAAUUUAGGAUAUUAACAUGUUACUGUUAGUCAUGAACUUUCGUCCAAUAUUUAAUGUCAUCACUUUCGAUUAAUUCCAUUAGAUUGGUAAACUAAUGUAUAUUGUCAUCACUAAACUUUCAAUUAGUUCAAUAAAAUCGUAAGUUAUUUAAAAUUGUUCAAUGUCAUCCUACUAUUCUAUAUGGUCAAUAAAAUACAAUGACGUCAAUGAUGGUCCGAUAAGACUAACACUAAAUGAAGAAAAUUAUACAAACUCAUUAUGUAUGUGCAUAUAACAUACUCACGGAAACUGCAAGAAAUAAUAUAUGUUCAUCUUUUGUGUGUGAUUUUAAAUUUACGAGCUAACUCUUUCAUCUAUCAAUCGCCAUAAAUAGACUUUCUCUUCUACUUAACCAUUUUCGAUGAUUAUUCAGGCAGGAUUAAUUGAGAGACACAAUUGAACUAAUUGAAAGUUCGGGGUAGCCGUUACACAAUAAAUUGAUUUGAUGAAUAAAAAUUUAGAGAUGACAUAGUACAUUACGUACUACUAGGAUAACCGACACUUUUAUUGAGGAAUAAAAAUAAAAAAGGAAUAUCGCAAUUCGCAAUCGGAGUGGACCCGAAGAACCAAUACGAGGGACAGCUCACGGAUCAUGUUAAUGGGUCCUCGCUUUUGAGCACACUUGAGUGCGAAGACUGUCCUUCUCGUGACCACAAUCGAGCCACUGGCCCCUGAAAAGCUGAAGAUACUUUAUGGCAAAAAAGGUUGAAGCAAAACUCGAAUCCUUUUGCACUUUAUGGCAAAGUGGCAGGAUAAAACCAUGGAAAAGCGUGGCUGUGGACACAUUCCGUGCAACCGUUUCUUUUGGAAUAGGAAUAGAAUGGGGCUGAUCAUUACCCCAUCAGAGGUUCGUCCAAAAUAGAAUCCGAGCAUCAUCAUGAGCUGGUCAGCUGCGCACGUCUGUUUGGGUUCUUCCUUCUCCUGACUUAGGUAAUUUAAGUUCCAUCGCUGUGCUUUACGACUAACUUGGGAACCGAAUGAUCAUUAAGUUAGAACAAGAUGGUCCAGAAAGGCUCUAAACUUCAAUUACAACUAAAUAAGACGAUGAUAUUCGUGCUGGGGCGUCAUCUGUCGACCACCUAGAGUUAACACUAGCACUCCGGUUACUGAACGAAGUUCCGUUUGUGAGGGUUUUCAUCCGUCAAUCCGCAGGUCAUCCAGUCUAGUAAGGUUCAGAAAAGGAAAGGAGGUUUCGGUUUAUGUUAUGGGCAGAGACGAUACUGGGCCUAAAUGCAACCCAACCAUUUCAGGUUACAGGCUGUGGUAUAUAUCGUAUCCCAUUACCUUCGCGGUCCGCCGCUUCUAUCAGGCAAUCAUCAAUCGCCAGUUAAAAGUGAAUCGUCUGUUUCUUUCUGCUGGUGUCAGAAUUACAGCUAUAACAACGAAGAAGAAAAUGGAUAGAAAAGAAGACAAAGAAAUGGAGUCAGGAGGAGACAGAGGAAAUUAAAGUUACUUUCGCGUGCUUUGGAUGCCUUUUGAAUGGAACCGAUGAAAGGGUAAUUGAGGUACCAUCUCCAUCAACUUCCCUCAAUCCAAACACAAGAAAUGACCGAGAUUUGACUGACCAAAUCGAUUUUAAUAUACUGAUUUUCUAUUUCCCUUUUUUGUUCGGUUCACGGGCUGGUUUUGCUUGAGACCCCAUUAAUCUGAAAGAGAAACAGUUCACGAAAUUUUUGGGGAGGAUUACAGGGCACUACAGUGCAGAAUUUUCUGAAGCAGGCUAGCUUUGCAUUGGGUUCUUCUAUCCUCAUCAACCGACGAGAUAAGGAAGCAACCAGAAUCGGGGUAAAAGAAACAAAUUCAAGGAGCACUCCUCUCAUGCGCACCAAGGAAAAUUCAGGAAGUUCAAGGACUGAUCGAUCCGUAUACCCACUAAACUCCCAGAGAGGGAAAGGUUCCUACUUUGAAUGUCGGCAUGGAUCAACAAAGCAUCAUAAGAAUCUUCCAAACAGUAAGUGAAGCUACAACAAUUAGGCAGAACAAGAGUCUUUCAGAUAGUGAAGUGACAAAGACUAGGCAGGAACAAGACCCGAGCGGAAGAAAUUAUUCAAGGAACUCGAUGUACAGUUAUUCAUCAACAAUAUAAUCCUUCAGAGUACCUGCAAUGUUGCAUCGCAGAAAAUUCUCCACUUCGUAUUCCGAAGUCCUUGGAUCACUUGAUGAUAAAGAUGGGCCAUGUUAUGAAAAACCUCAUUAAAUCUCAUGAAAAGUGACAACUUCAUGCCUACUUUUUAUACCUACUUGCCAACACUUUAACUGGGAGCGAUUGAUUUUGAGUAGGGGAUGAGCGAGGAGGGGGAGUUGCAGGGCUUAAUCACUGAUCUAGGCAAUCUUUCCGAGUAUCAACUUUUCUAGAGACAUGCCAAAUGAUAAAUGCUACAAAGUACAAGAACAAGGCCACAUAUGACCAGACAUGUACAUCUAAGACCAGAGAUCUAACAGGAGUUUCAAGUGACAAUUGACAAAGGUGCCUAGAUUCUUGAAGCAUCAUAUCAUUUCACAUACACUGCCAAAAGUACACCUGGACAAAAGUUGCUCAACCCCAUAAUAAAAAAAUAAUUUACUACAAAUCCAACAAUUUAGGCACAGUGAUUACCUACUCGAGACCAUGGGUAAACAAACUAAAUGCAAAAGAAUUAAGCUACCAAGUAUCUGUAGAUACUCCACUAUGACAAAUGAAGCAAAUUUAAAAAGCUAUUUCACACACCCUUCACUUUUGGUAUAGCAGGAAGUCCAAUUUCGUACUUCUAGUUUGUUGGAAUAUCAAAGGCAAUCUUUCUUAUGUAUAGGUUAUGCAAUUUUCGCAAAAGGGUGGUUUCCCUAGGUUUAUCAUUCAAAAGAUUAAAAAAUAAGAACCACUUCGAAUUCAUAAAACUGACGUUGCAGUUUUGCAAGUAAAAGAGCAACUCAAUACAUUAAUUUCGCACAUUAAAGGGUCUAAGCAGGGUCAAACAUUCUAGCUAUCCUUUUGUAAAGAUGCUAUUAUCUUGACUUAAACCCUGGACCUCCAAGUCAUCAUAAAGCAACCAAUUUUUUAUUAUAGCAAAACUCACUCUACUACAAUUCCUUACUUUUGUAGUAGCAGCAGAUCAUCCAUAACUUAAUGUGGAUGACCUGCAACGCACCACAGAGUGAGUCUGCACAUCAUGAGCGCAUGAAACAUCAACUCUCUCACCAUAAGAAGGCCACAUCAGGAACUAUCACUAGAUUAUUAAUUAAAUGUCAUUCUUCAAAUGAAUUAAACUAACUCUACCCGUCUAUUUUUAAGACUACCCUAGAACCCGAAAUUCAAGAUCUGAACAAAACAGAGGAAUAUCCUCAAGCCAAGUGGAUUGUUUACUCUAUGGCCCAAAAGAAGUAGAUUGUUUAGUCAGACUAAUUUUUUCUUGUUAGCAUUGAUCUUGUAAGAAGUGAUCUCAAUCAUUGUACAAAUUUUCUGGUAUAAACAUAGCCAGAUAUAUGAAGCUUAACAACAGCAUGUUAUCGUAAAAUGCGUUUGUGCGCAAAAUAAUAAGGAGAAAAGUGAACCUAACAAUGGAGUUCCGUGAAAAGCAUAUUCCUAGAGUUACUACAUUCCAGCAGGCAGCAAAUAUGUAGAUAACCAUUGGAAUAUGGAUCAGAACACUUACAUCGUAGUGGAAGUACUUCGAAAAAAAAUCAAUAUCAUCAUUCAACUACAAACAUGCUCAAAACUUGCAUAAAACAUUAAUUACCUACCAAAACAAAACCCUAAACUUGAACAUAGUCCUAAAGCAAUCCAGCAGAAGAAGGUAUUCUUUCAAUUUCAAUUUAGACUUUUUGAAUGUAGAAGCUUCACAGAGAAGUCAAUCACAUGAUUUUACAAUCUAGCCUGAGAUGAUAUUGAGGCAGGAAGGAUGCACUAACAGAAGAGAGCACAUUGCAAUGGUGCAACAGGAAUUAUCAGAGUAAUUUCGAGUUUGUGACUGGCCAACGCAAUUAUCUGAGAUCCCCAUAUUUGUGUUCUUUCAGUAGCUAUUCCUGUGUUAGUCUUUCUAGCCAUUUAUUCAUGCCCAAUGAUAUACACACCGAUAUAGUGGCAAAAGUUACAUUGAGAGUUCCUAACCACAGGCUACAUUCUUCUUUCUUGAUGUCGAGCUAUUAUCAUGAUCUUGCCAACAACAAAAGAUGAACAUCCGCAAUUUGCUCGAAACUUUUGCUGACAAUGCUAGUUACAAGACCAUCCCUGAAACUCCAACUCAAAGCUGCUAGAUCCUUAACAGCUAUGUGGCACACAAGAACACCAAAAGAAUUCAUCUCCGAGCGCACUUCCGGAUUGAAACAAAGCCACAUUGCCAUCCCUAGAAUUUCGACAAACUGCAACGGACGGAAUCGUUUUCUAACGCCUAAUUGUAACAUUAACGCGCGAAAACCAAAAUAGUCAAAAAGCAUAAUCAAUUAAAAGCAUUAUAGAUUUCCAGCUCAAUUCGCAGCACCGAUCACUGCAGAAGUCAGAUUUUUCGAACAUCAAAUAGAUGAUUAUUGAGCUAACACCAUAUCAACAUUCGACGCGGAGGCCAAGUCAAACACCGUCGAACCUCAGUUCCCCCCAGCAAGGAAAAAGAAAAAAGAAAGGAAGAAAGGAAGAAGAGCUCAAAACUCAACUCGAACUUACUCCAAAUUUCACCCCCCACAAACCCUAAUCAGUCAGAUUCGCUCAUCUGUUGCUGCUCCAUCUGCAGCCGCUCGAGGGCCUUCUGGUGGGCCCAGGUCUCGAUGGUGAGAUCGGGCUUCGCGUUGAGCCCCACGCCCAGGAUCACGAUCGUCAGGAAGCUGGUGACGUAGCAGGGGAGCUCCCAGUCCUCCCACUUGCGGGCUUGGCCGGGCGGCGGCGGGGGCCGGUUGAAGAGGUAUCCCUUGGGGCGCUCCUCGUGGCCCGGCGUCGCCCACCGGCUGGGCCCGGACGAGGACGAGAAGAGCCGGCGGCGGAGGGCGGCGGCCGCCGUCGUCAAGGGUUUCGCUGCCCUCGGCAUGAUUUCGCGAGCGGAGAGAGAGAGUGGAGCGAUUGGGGAGACUCCUGAAGUAGGCCUGUCUUUGGCGGAUCUGGCGAUCGACCUCCGUGCUUGAAAACGCUGUCGUUUUGCCAGAUGAGGAAGCGACGUCGUUAAGGCUAAUGGUUUUUUUUUUUUUUUAAAUAUCUUUUCUCGACUAAUUCUUUGUUUUUUUACUUGCCAAGUCAAUUGGAGCCAUUUAGCAUGAUGAAUUUUGGACUAGGACCACAUUAGUUGCUUCAAAUAAUAAUGAAAGACGAACGUUACCGUUUAUACUUGUUUUCUAGAUUAAAGCUCUCACCCAUUUGUUCACACUUAAAAAAAAAGUAUUGAAAACAUUAUAACUACUCCACUAGAUUUAAUAUAUUUAUGAACAACUAAUAUGUGUACUUAGUGUAAAAGUGAAAUGUAUGAGCUACAAGAUUUAGAUUAAGUGAAAAAUUUAAAAUCCGUCUAGUCCAUGGCAAUCAAAUCAAAUAACUGUUUUACGAGCCUAAAGCUAGUUUGAUGCUUACAAAACAUCUCUUAUUCUUUUGAUGAGUAAUACAAUACAUGCACUUAUCAUUCACAAAUACAGAGCAUUAGAGAAGAGAUGGAGGUACAUUAUCCAUACCACUGGCCAAGAAACGACACUACUUUAAUUAACAAAAGGCUUGUGAGCUAUAAUACUCUAGAGGAGAAAAUAUGUCCGCUUUGCAGGAUCGUGCUUUUCCGGGGCACUUCGACCAAAGAUGUCCGAGCUUCCUCGUUAUCGAGAUUUUGACACAUCGACAGUCGGUACAGCUUGGUCAUCUCUUCUCCAUUCACGCAGCCACAUGCUUGACACAAACACUGGAUCAAACCAUGUCAAGAAUGGUAAAGCCGAAUGUGGCUGGUGUAGACAAGUUCAUUUAUUACCUCCUGGGACGAAUCUGCAGCUACAAUUGGAUCAACUGACCAGGAGAAAUUCAGUUUCAUCAAAACUCUAAAGCUCUAGUGCCUGAAAUCAGACCCAUACAGCAUCAUAUCCUAGCCAUUCUCUGUAUCCUAUCUUAGUCGUAUACUCAGUCUCACUAAUCAAUUACCAUUUUACUCUACUCGGGUCAGAAUCUUUCGAGUUACCCAAAGUCAAAUGAAUCCUAAUUUAAGUUCUCGUUUCAAAAGAGGAUUGAGUCAAUGAUCCGACUAUCUUUAGGUUACUCUGCGCCUCGGAGUGAGGCAACUGAAGUGCUGUCGUUGAUACAGACAAGCAAACCCCAUCUCUGAACUCACAACACCCGAUCUUUUCUCAUACCAACACUUUGAGAUAGGUUUUCCAGAACUCUGCUCGCUGCACGUAAAAAAGGGGGCGUGAAUCAUACUCCAUCCCACUAACUGAGGUUAACAUAUGUCAUCUCAGAGAGCAGCAAAACCUGCAUGAUAUUGGAUUUUCUUUUUUCUGAGCAACAGCGCCUCGGUAUUUUCCUGAUCUGUCAUGGAUUUUACAACUUGCUCCCCCUGGACAACCUGACAUCUACAAUAAUUCAAUUAUCUCUUCUCGCCCAAAAUUGUCAUAUAACCUCAUCGGGGUGUAUCUUCAAAGCAUCAAAUAAGGCCUUACUCGUGAACCAUAAUAAAAAUCACCAGUAGUCUCCACAAGUACAGAUGCCAUUGACAAUAUGGUGGAAGCGAUUUUUGUCCCUCAAAGAAAUUUCCCUUGCAUAGAGUUUCGAGACAAAUUUGGCAAAGUUAUGGCAGUCAACACAAAUCCGCAGGUUCUUUAUCACCCGGACUGGAACUCCUUCUGCACUACCCAUCAAUCCAAAGGCCAAGGCCAGCUUUUCACUGUGACCAAGAAGUAUCUUCUCCUUCUGUUCAUCGUCCACAUCAUGAAAAGCACAACUCAAGUCAGGAACAUAACCUAAUGCUUUUAUCUUGAGCGCUAAAUCCUUCACCUUCUCAAAAACCUCCCCCCUUCUUGGGUGAAGACGAUCACUGGCAUGAAAAGUGUGGAGCACCUGGUCAAGCUCCACCCAGCUCCUUCCCGGCUCCUUUAUCACUGCCUUCUCCUUCAUCAAAUGCCUCACAUUUCUUACAUCUUCCCACCUCCCAGCUGUAGCAUAUAAAUUAGAAAGAAUCACAUAAUUCCCAGCAUUUUCAGGCUCAAGUUCAAGAAGCUUAUGGCCGACAAGUUCACCAAUGUCAACAUUAGAGUGAACCCUACAAGCACCUAAAAGUGAACCCCAAAUAGCAGGAGUCGGCUCAAAAGGCAUCCGUUGUAUAUGUUCAAAAGCCUCUUGCAGCUGACCAGCACGCCCAAGCAUGUCAAUUACACACCCGUAAUGCCCCAUCUCUGGUUGAACUCCAUGUUCCCCAUUUAUAAUCUCAUGGAAAAGCUGUAGCCCUCUUUCUUCCAAUCCCCCAUGGCUGCAGCCAGAUAAAACAGCCAAGAGUGUAACGCUAUCAGGCGCAACCUUUUUUUCUUUUCUCAUGAGUUCGAAAAGCUCAACGACCUGUCUCCCGAUUCCAUGUUUGCUGUAACCCAUGAGCAUAGCAUUCCACGAGAUGACAGUUCUCUCGGACAUGCUAUCGAAAACUCGUCUUGCGUAGGUAACACUUCCACAUUUUGAGUACAUGUCUAUGAGAGAAUUCUGCAGAACAACAUAAAAGGGGACUUCACGCCUAAGGACAUGACCAUGGACCUGCCUGCCAUGAUUCAAUGCAGCAAGCCCAGACAAAGCAGUCAAGACACUUGCAUAAGUAACAUAAUUCGAAUCCAUCCCCUCUCUCUGCAACCUACUAAAUAAUUCUAUGGCCUCUUCAUCCAUACCUAACUGAGCAUAACCUGAGAUUAUAGCAGUACAAGAAACAACAUCCCUUUCGGGCAAGCACUCAAACACUUCUCGUGCUUCAUGGAUUUUGCCAGCCUUGGCGUACAUGUCAAGGAGUGAGCUCCCGACAAAUAUUUGGGAUUCAUAAUUAUUCUUAAUGACUAAAGAGUGGACUUGCCUUCCCAACUGAAAACCCGACGCCCCCGUGCAUGUAGCAAGAAUCGUGGCGAACGUAAACUCAUUUGGCUCUGUCUCUGCAAAAUGUUAGUUAGCAUCACCAAGAAGUAAACAAGAACCCACGGUAAACAAGCACUGCUCACUCUCAUGCAGAAUACCUGAUCUCAACAUCUGCUGGAAAAGAUCCAGAGCUUCAGAGGCAUACCCUUUCUGGGAAUAAGCCGAAAUCAUGGCCGUCCAAGAGACCACAUUUCGGAGCGGCAUUUCGUCGAGCACCCGGCGCGCGUCACCCAAUAGCCCAUUCUUGGUGUAGAAAACCAUAAGCCGAGUCCAGAGAUAAACUGGCGGGAGAUAGCACGUCUUGAUCAUGUGGGCAUGGACUCUUUGGCCUUCUCUCAACGCCCUCUUCUCCACGCACUCGUCCAAGAGCGCGACGUAUCCUGCAAACACCAUUUCAGGGCCUCGAAUGGCCAUCUCCAGCAACGCCUCCCUCAAACAACCGUCGGAACGUAAAGCAUUCGACUUUGAGGGAUUUUGAAGGACGGAGGAGCACGCCGUUUGGCGGGCAAGUGCAUUGGACAAGAAGCGAGAGAGCUGCAUGGGUUGAUGGGUACGAAGCGUCGCCUUUGUCAGCGUCUCUUUAAGUUGAUUCCGCAUUCUCAGCGACCCUUAAGUCUUUGGAGCCAAAGACUACUGCUGAAGCAUCCAUAACCUCGGACGUCGAGGAAAGCUUCAUUCUAGUUGGAAGAUGUCACCUCGGACGUUGUAGGGGCUAGAAGUUUAACUUACUCUUGAUAUCGUCUUUGGGGUCCAAGAAAUAGAAAAAGUAUUUUCGAGAUGGCGCUGUUUAGGAGGAGCGUUAAAGUGGUUUAUUGGAGAAUUGCCUAAUCAUAAUAGGCAAAGGUAGUCGAAUCAUAUGGAGUGGCAAAUGGCAAUAACAUACCGACCCAUGCAUGGGAUGGGAUUUGUAAGUACCGUCGAUCUGAUCUUUCCAAAGAAGGGACCGCGACUCGUGAAUUCUCGAACACCUUUCGCUAGGGAGAAAAACUCCAUCCUCUAUGAAACUCAAGGCAUUAGAAAAUAGAUGAAACGUUCUAAAAGAGGUCAAAGAGCAUGCAUAGUGGUAAUUUUGACCGGCACCCUACCCAGCAAGAACAGUUUACCACUCUCCAGACCCAUUAUCGUUUGCACCAUCAAAGCAAGAAAGCAAAACUCUAGGCACUCAUUCCUACAGUGAAGUGUACCAUCCAGCCACUGGCUUUUUGGGUCUGCUCGAGGGAUUACUGACUGAUUAUCUCGUUCAAGAUUCAAUUAGAGGCACAGGCAUCGACCAAGAAGACGACAAAUAAGCCGUGCAAUUAUCUAGCACUAGCAGAAUUUCUCUCCUCUCUUCUUUUCUUCUGUACUACUUAGUGAAAAGGGAUGCUAAGAGCUUCCAUUCCCUCCACUCUGAUGCCAUGAAGGAAUGUCUCGGAGCAAAGUCACGGAAAGCCACCAUACAUCUUCGACAGCCACAAACGGCUUUCAAACUUGGAAGAAACUGCUCACACUCACAACAAAUUGGUGGGACUCAACAAAGCCUCCACACCACGAAAUGAUAUCCGCAAGCACAACAGAAACACAUAGGCAAAUAUGCAUCGCGGCACAGAGUUUUACUUCCAUAGUAGUUUGGAGUUUUGUCAUUGUACAAUGUGGAUGAGUCUUCCCUUCUCACGAAGGGCUGACUUACUCAUCCUCAGAGUUAGUGAAUGAUAUAAGUACAGAUAUGCAGAUUACAUAUGGAAAUUUCUACUCCAAUUUUGGGAGAAAUAUGGGUUUCCUUCCGCUGCUAAUUAUAAGAAUUCAUAGGACCAAAAUUAGAAGAAGACUUGCGGUAGAAGCAUGGAAACCCAGGUUAAAUGGAAUCUGAUGCCUCCUAGUUCCUGCUAGAGUGGUAAUCUUAUAUCUUGCUAAUAUAUACACUAAUUACUAAGACUAGACUACGAGUAGACCCUCAAUCCACCUUCAUAGCUCCAUUUUCGGUUGCUCUAGAGUGCAAGGACACUGCAAAGGAGAGAUGAAAAGGGACUUAGUUAGACAAUUUGGGUUUCAUGCAGGCAUAGAAGAGAUAAAUAUGAUUCAUUCGGUAAUAACAUGUAUAGGACCAAAUUUGAAAGGCACUUGGUUAAAGUUUCUCACAAACUACAACAAGAACUUCCAGCUUUCUGUUAAUUUGCUCAUAGCUGAACUGUAUGACUCCCCAGCUAUCUAAGCAAUAUUCAAAAUCUGGGAAAAAGAAAUGCGCACCCCCAUGUUUAUUUUCCAUAUUUAUGAAUUUUAGAUGGCAAAAUUUUAAGGUGGGAAACAUGUUGCUUGGAUCAAAGAAAGGGGCAACAGACACUACCUGAAUUUGCCGGAGAAUCAUAACUCAAUAGAGAAUUUUCUGGGGUGAUAAAGUUAUGAUUGUCUUGUUCCCUUCCCCAAACUGGCUGUGGAAGUGAAUUAAACUGCCAUUGCUGAUGGUACGGCUGUCUGCUUUCAUUAACCUGAACUUCAGGCCACAUGAACGGCAUAACCAUGCUGGGGAAAUUACUGUCUACCAGAGACAUGUUCUGCAAGUGCAAAUAAGCAAAAACACAUCAAAUUUAUAAAGAAGUGAGCAAUAAAUGGCAUAAAAUGAUGAGAUUGAUUGAAAAAAGGACUAAUUGUUGUAUGUGUCAGAUCAAAAAAGGAAUUCCUUCUCAAUGAAACUUGUACAAGAUUCAAAUUGUACCACAACCUUAUCAAAGAGGACAAUUCAAACUCUUUGCGGUACGUUUUUGUGUUCUAGAGCUCUAGAAAUGUCAGUGGGAAUGAGCACUCUUCUGACGGUGCAAGAGUCCGGGUAAUAACUGGUUUAUACAUGUUGAAUGUCAAGGCUCAAACAAAAAAGAAUAUUACUGAAGUGAAAAGGCAACCGAGAGAGGCGUGCACAUUGAUGGUUUUUAUUUUUGGGUACCAGCUGCAAUCACGUGCAGAUAAAGUACGUGACCCAGAUUUACUCUUACCUUUUAUUUGAUAUUUCAAGAGAACUUCAGAUGUAACAAUCAACGUUGUACUAUUACAAGAACCAGUAUGUUUCUACCAAAGCCCCGGUAUCAUCUAACACAGAACAUUCUGCUGCAGCUGAUACAAAAGAUUCGAGGAUAACCCCCAGGAGGAAACACCUUGACAUCUCUCUCUCUCUUCCAAGAGAGUGCGGAAUAAAAUAUAAGAAAAUUAUACGUACUUCUGCAAAAUUGUUAUCCAUGUUGAAAUCGACCCUUGGGUUAGCUGCCGCAAGUCUCAUUGACAGAAGCUGAAAUACCAAAACACGCCAUUAUAAAGUACACUGCUAAUCAUGAUCUUUAAAAUUUUGGAAAGUACAAUCAACAAUGCACACACUUUGUCGGAGGCUUAUGAAGCUCCAUAUGCCACAGCACCUUAUUGCUUUCUCAAUUUACAUGGACAAGAAUGAAGGAAAAACAUCAUUCAACUCGUGAUCUUACAAGUGGAAGAAGAAAAUAUUACUCAGGCAUGCCUUCCGAUAUCUUUACAGAACAGAAAUGGAAAACCCCAUACACCCUUAAUUUGAAAUUGAAAGCAAUUGGCAAACCAACAUGAUCAAUAUACACCAUCAACUAUGACUAAAGGGACUCAAUGUAGGCACAAGCAUCAAGAUCUUAAACCUCAAAAUGUUAGGUGAACACUGUACCCAAAUGUGAAGAAGAAUCAGAUAAUAGGCGUAGAGCCCAUUAAUUUGACAGCUUCUUCAAAGAAUUGUCCCUAGAGCUCAAGAGUGAGAACUCCAUUAUUUUCUGGCGAUUUAUAAGAGCUAGACUUCAACAAGCCUAAGCUUUUCAUAUAGCACUAUUAACAAACAAACCAAUCAGAAGGAACUUUGCUAUUUCAAGGGUGAGUAUCAAUUACCUCAACUUGGCGUUGUAAAGAUUGCACAUGAUUAAUGAUUUCAUCCAACACCGAAGCUGUACCAGAUAUCUGCAUAAGCAAAUUAUCUUUGCAUCACUUUCGCUACCCUAAAAUUAAAACUUUCAUCUGCAUUCGAAUUUUAUAAGAAUAGAAUAACAGUAUUCACUGCUGCCAGCACAAUUUACACGAGUAGCCAGAAACUUUCCAGAAACUCUCACUGUAUAGUUUCAAGGUACUUUGGUGUAAAGCUAAUCGCAAGGCCUAAGACGACCCAAAAAGGCAUUCGAGUGAAAGAAAUCUUCCAAACUCACCACAAUAUGUUGCACUUACCUAAAGAAGGUUGGAAUGAAUAUAAUCCUUAUAUCUCAUCCACAAGACCAAAAAUAACUAAGAUGAAACAAAAGGCGGAAUUUACUGGACAUUUGUCAGGCCAUCAUAACAGAAGGUUCAGCCCCUAGAAUUGGAAAUCCACUAUCUACUUGAGAAGAGUCACCCAGGUAUCCCAAAAUCCCAGGCAGUACACUUGAUAAGGAUAUCAAUUACCAGAUAUUUUCAAUACAAUAUAACUCCUUCGCAGGAUAUAAAGUGCAAAGAAAUUGUUGAUGGAUCAUCCACGAGUGAGAAAAAAUAAAGACACUGCAAGCAUAUUUAUUCUUGAAAGGUUGUACCAAUUAAAGGCACCAUGCUUCCUUCAGAAUGUUGUUAAGCUUCGUCUAUACACCGAGUACCAAGUAAAGCUACCUAAGAAAGAUGCCCUCCUUAUUAAAUAAACACAUUUUACAAAGACAUAACCAGAACAUCCAACCGUCCUAAACAAAUAGCAAUAGCCAUCUUCUUCAAAUACGUAGCUCGGCUAAAAUCUAGCUUCAGUUUUGUUAAACCGAUAUCAACUCGCAUUGCAUCCCGCGAAAAUAUCUCAUGGAGGCACUCUUUAGAAAGAGGAACGGGGAGGUGGGGGCGGCAAAUGAAUCUUUUACGUGACAUCACAUCGUCUCUCGUAGCUGUUGGUUGGCAAGUUUUGUUUGGGCAUUCCGAAAAGGAAAUAUUCCUUGUCCCUUAAAAAAGAAAAAUUUGUUAUUCUUGUCUUAAGGGGGGGGGCCUCUCACAGACAUCUACCUAGUCCUCCACUCCCAACAAAGACAAGUGUCAAAGACCCACCAAUCCAUCCCCGUCCCCACUCCCAAGGUAAAUAUCGCCAUCCCCCGACACGAAGAUAAUGCGAUGCGGUUGUAUUGCAUCGCGAACAUGAAAUUUCCCCAGCAAAAUGCCCAAAAGCCUCAACGCCCAGCCAAGACCCAAAAUUCCUUUCGGGGGGGUUUUUGACGUAAUUGCCCUGAAAAGGGACUCCUAACCUACCCAACGAAAGGGCAACGGAACAACCCCCGCGGGGGGGGCGAAAUUACGGAACUGCCAACGGGGACUUUGACACUUCGGAAUGCCCUUUUUUCCCCCCCUCAGUACAAAAGCCACAUCCCCCCACGCAUCGUGGUUAAAAAGGUGAAAAUGACACCCGGGCAAAUUAUUAAAACCCGCAUAAUUGCACUUUUCAGAGACAAUUAAGACUGACAUAUAUAAGCCACCCCCACUAAUCACGACCACUGAAUCUAAAAUCACAUCACGGGUGAAGGAAGGAAACGCUGACCUUGCUGCAGCCCGGGACGAGCUCCUGCAGCAGCUUCAUCCGAGCAUUUAUUUUCUCUCUUCUCGCCUGCAAUGUCCCGAGCGGAAAAACUUCAGACAAGAUCGCUGCGGUCUUGUCGGUAAAAGGAGCGAUCGAAACGUACGGAAAAAACGCACGAAUUAAGUUAAGGAAAAGAGACGAUACCCUCUCUGCUAAGCUAUGGCUAUCGGUGGCUUGACCGCGACGAGCUCGGACGUGCACGUAAGGAAGCUCCUCCGCAUCUUCCGAGCUCUCGUUCUUGCUCUUUUUCGCCGACGCUUUCGCCUGAAACUCGAAAUUCGUCCACGUGAAUUGGAAUUAAAAAGAAGAGAAAACACCCCGAAUUCGCCGGAGGCGUAACGAGGAAUCGUGCCGGAAAGUGUUGAUUUUGUUGGGGAACUUCUUUUUUUUUUUUUUCUCUUCUUCUUCUUACCUUCUUCUCUCGGUCUUUCCUCUUCGUCGGCCUCUGCCCCUUGUUCUCCACCGUCGGAUCGGACACCAGCGGCUGCGGCGACGAGUUGGGGUUCGAGUCCGAUUCCGUCAACGGCUCGCUCUUCACCUUCUGCGAGCUCGUCUCCACGGAGUCGUUCUUCUCUCCGAAUAAGGCGGGGUACCUCGCCGCGAGGUCGGAACCCACGGCCAAAGCGAAGCCGCCCCCGCCGUCGCCGCCGAGGCGGCGCAAGGGCGUCCCCGCGGGGCCGCCGGGGACGGCGACGCCCGGGGAAUUGGGCGCCUCCGGCGAGUGGAGGAGCUCGAUGGCUCGGGUCCGGGGGAGCUCGAGGAGGGCCGUGAAGGAACUGGUGCUCUCCGGGGGGGGAGCCAUCAGGCUUCGGAUUUCCUCGGUGAGGACCGACUCCAGCGCGGCGUCGGUGGAUCCGGCUAGGGUUAGAGAUGACGGCUCCAUCGGGAAUCGGCUCGGGAGCUGAUCGAAUCGAGCCGGACCCAAGUCAGCUUCCAAGCGGGAAUGCGGGCCGGGACCCACGCCGAAUCGAUCGAAAAUAGGGGGGAAGGCUCCGCGCGAGCGAAUUCGCGGAGGCCGACGCGAGAUGGAGGGGCCCGGAGAACUCGGCGGGAAGUGGAGAGCGGCUGAAGCAGGAGGCGGAGCCGGAGGGAGGGGGGGGGGCGGGGAAUGCCGGCGGCCGGCGGCGGCGGCGGUGCUGCAAUGGCGGUCAAUGGGGGUGUGUUUCUCUCGUUGGUGGCCGUGUAUUCUCUGUUUGGGAGAAAGCGAGAUUACUGCACGGCCAUUUGGAGUGUGGAAGGUAACGUUGCUGCUUCGGCCUUUUUGUAGGAGCAGCGGGCUAGUGAGAGAGAGAGAAAGAGUGGGAGGGAGAUUGGAUGGUCGCUUUUUGCUUUUCUUUUCUUUUUUUUAAUUCACGGUAAAGCAGUCGAAAGUCAAUUCUUCUUCUUCUUUUUUUUUUUUUUUUUUUUUACCGUCAAAAUAUGUGUCGAAUUUAUGGACCGUGUGAAUUUGACUUUUUUAACUG
rnacentral:lncRNA from 1 species